rnacentral:lncRNA from 1 species
CGAUUUAACAAUUUACCAAACAAAGAGAAGCAUUGUUCGAUAUAUUCGAGUUUAUUGUAUGAUGAUACUUAUUUGAAUUUUGUUUAAAAAUCAUCUUCUUAGCUUCAGUAAAGAGGUGGGAUGCUUUGUUCGUGUCGAAAGAAGUUCUCUGGAUCAACCUUUGUUUUAAUCUUCACCAACCUAUUGAAAUUGUCUUUGAAGUACUUUGCUCCCCAGACUUGAGCUUGUUUGAGGCUUGUCUUUAAGUUGUUGUUCUGUCCCAGGUCUAGAUCUCUGUAGUUCACAUAUGCUUGUCUUGGAUUGCUUGAGACAUAAGGCGUCAUGUAAUUGUACAACUCCCUGAUCCAUUUGAUACGCAUGUCUGGUCUCUUCUCGGUGUCUGACCAGCUCCUAUAAUACAGAAUCAUGAAGCUGGUUCCGCUUCUAUGCGGAAACGGGAUCUCAGAUUCAGGGAUUUUAUCCAUCAUUCCACCGUAUGGAGUCCAUAUCAUUACUGCAGCUUCUUCUUCAAGAAUCUUCUUGAUCAUCCCUUUAAGACCUAAAACAGGAAUCGGUUCUUUAGCGAAGUCUGAUUUGGCUUUGAAGUAAACUUCUCCAAGAGGUGACUUUGCUUGAAGCAAAACCUCAGGAGGAGGAGGAGUGGUAGUUGAGAAUCCAGAGCUGUACAUGAUGGAUUCAAUCCAGUUCAUUUCUAUACAAUCCUCCAGAGUUAGCCCUAGUUCUGGAAAACCCUUGCUCAUUACCUCCAUCAAGUUGCCUUUCUCGCCAAGAAACUGACCUAUGUAUGACAUGGCCACAGUUCUGUUUUCAUUGUUUCCAGCUAUGGUGAAGAACACGCGUAAGAAGAGCUCUUCAACGAGCUUGUCCGCAACUUGUUGCCACUUUGAAAGAAUCUUGAAUCCUGCGUCUUGGUCUAAUGUUUUGGUGACCGUGAAGACAGUUAGGGUUUUAGGAACAGGAACAAGCUUGAUCUUCCAUGACAAUAUUAUCCCGAAACUCCCUCCUGCGCCUCCUCUAAUCGCCCAAAAAGUAUCCUCUCCCAUCGCGGUUCUGUCUAGUAAUUUGCCAUUAACAUCGACAAGCUUUGCGUCUAGAACGUUAUCUGCAGCAAGACCAUACUUUCUCAUCAAGGAACCGUAUGCACCGCCUGUUAUAUGCCCACCUAUGCCUAAGCUCGGGUAUAUACCAGCAGGGCAUCCAUGAGUCUUGCUCUUCUCUGAAAUUCUACAGUUAACAUACCAAAUGUUCAAUAGUCAAAUUGUGUUUUCUUGUGUACAGUUAUCUGGUUACGUUUUGUCAUUGCAUAUUGUGAAGUCAAACAUAUGGGUUUUAAGUAUUUAGAAAACGUCAAAAUAAGUAAAUAACUCUUCCAAAAAGGAUUAAAUUAACAUAAUUAUGUUUGAGUUUUAUAUUUUUUACUCUUAUUUUCUUCUAGAUUUUUAAAAAUUCAGAUCUGAAAUCAAACCUUUAGUUUAUCAAUGUAAUAUCGAAAUAGCACAAUAUUUUAGUAUAUAUUUUCAAAAUAUUUGGUAACUAUACUUCCAUAUUUUUGGAGAUUUGAUAAUGGUUAUCCGUAGAUUACAGAUUUUACUCUGGUGUAAAAUAAAACAAUGAGCUAAAAAUUAAAUUCUACUAAUCUUAAAACAUUGAAUUGUCUGUAGAUUGCAUAUUCCUAUACAGUUUAAUGGUUAGAUUAAGAGUUGAAUAAGCAGCAUAUAACAAAAAAAAUUAACAAAUUUUGAAAUUUGUAGACUACUUAUUCUAAUAAAAGUAGAUUGACUAACAAAACAUGGAAUUCAAUUUAUUCUAGUAAAAGUUUAUUGCCUAACAAACGCGGAAUUCAGUUUGUACAGUAGAAUAUAAAAUUUAACUAGGUGUCUUGUCCGCCCAUGCGGACAUAAUCAUCUUACGAAUACUUAUUAUUUUAUGUUUUAUCUAUCUAAAAAUCGGCAUAAGAAAACUCUAACCGGUGAACAUGUUGAAGAAAAAAAUUAUGGUGAAUUAUUUGUUCCUCAAAAUUUAUAACAGUUAUAUUAAAAUUUUAGUCAAAUUAUUGAAAGGUAGAUCCCACUUUUUUCUUCUAAUUUUUCAUGGAGGAAUGAAUUUAUAAGAAAAGAUUUCCCAAUGCAAUUUUGAUAAGGAACAAACUGAACAAAAAUUCAUAUUUUUUUUUUAUUUUUUCAAUUCCUUGAAUGAAAUUUUAUUUUGUUCAUUUUUUUCAUUCUUCUAGUGUCACCAACUGAAGCUAUAGUGUUUCACGAAUUAAAUUUAAACUGGUUUAAAGUAAAAGCAAGAAAAUUUGUUUUGAACUCAGUUACAAGUUUAGAUAUUAUUUAUGAUUUUAAAUAGUUAAAUCAAACAUCAAAUUAUUUAUAAAUGUCAAAAAACGUUCAUCAAACUAUGUACUUAUAUAAAUAUUUUUGUUUGACUAAUAUUUAAUUAUAAAUUUUUUUAUAUCUUAAUUUUUUAACUUUAUAAUAAAAUAUUGUUUUCAGAUAGCAACACAUUAUAUAUAUAUAUAUAUAAGAAUUCUCUUAAUUUUUAAAUAUAUUUUCACAAUUUUAUUAUAUUAGUUUAUAAUUAAUUAUUUUAUAUAGCAUAUAAAUUUAAUAUUAUUAAAAUAAAAUUCGUGUUUUGUUAUAUAAAAAAUUCAUUACAGGUUUUGUGAAAAUUAAUAAAUACUCAGUUAAAAACUAUUAAUAAAUCAAUGACCUCUAUAUAAAAGCUUUAAACCUAAUAAAAUAUGACAAAUAAGAAAAUAAGAAUUUUAAUAUAACAUAUAGAUUUAAAUAUUAUUAAAUCAAAAUUCGUUUUUUAUUAGAUAUAAAAUUCAUUACGGAUAAUUUUUUUAAUUAGUGAUUCAACUAAAAAUUAUUAAUAAAUCAACGACUAAGCUAAAACCUAAUAAAAAACAUGACAAAUCAGCAAAAUUUACUAAAAUCAUGGAAAUCAUGACAAAUAAGCAAAAUCAAAAUAAUUAUAUAUCUAAUUACAUAUUUUAUAGUUAUAUUAUUUAAAUUAUUAAAUUAUGAACUCAACUAAAAACUAUUAAUAAAUUAAUGACUCAGCUUAAACCUAAUUAAAACAUGAUAAAUAAGUAAAAUUACCUAAAAUCAUGGAAAUCAUGAGAAAUAAGCUAAAUCACUUCAUAAAUAAUAGUAUAUAUAUUAUUAGAACAAAAUUUAAAAUUUUUAUUUAACAAGUUUUAGAACUCAGAGAAAAUAAAAAUACUACAUUGAUUUUAUCUCAGUAUUUUUCUAUUGUUCCUAUUUUUCAUAAUUUUUGGGUUUAUAAAAUUAUGUAUUUCAUUAAGUUUGAUAAAUAUAAAGAAAAAUAAAGGUAAAAAUGAAACAAAAAGAUAUUAUCCUAUAAAGAUAAACAUGCUGAAUUUUUUGUUUAUAUUUCCAAUUUUCAUUAAAAAAUAAAACUGGUGCUUAGUACAGAACUAGACUUACCUGUAGUAAAGCUCACCAGUCGUAGCACCAGCUUCAACCCAAACACUAUUGUCUUCAAUAUCAACGUUGAUCUGUCUCAGUUUCGACAGAUCAAUAAUUAUAAACGGUAUUUCUAUCUGUGAAACAUAAGAGACGCCUUCAUAAUCGUGACCGCCGCUCCUAACACGGAGAUGAAUUCCCAGUUUCUUGGAACAUAUGAUGGAAGCUUGGACGUGUGUCUCGUGAACUGGUUUGAAUAUGAAACCCGGUUUAGGCAUUGAUUUGGUCAAGUAUCGUUGAUUUUGAGCUGUCGAGUUAAGGACUUCAAUGAACAUCGAGGCGUUCCUUUCAGGACUGAAGAAUGCUUUCUCGAGUGGAAAAUCGACAUUUGUGUUUUGGUGGAGACAAUUGAUGAAGUCAUCUUGUAAGGAGUUUGAAGAAGUUAAUGCUACUGUGUAGAAAGAAAAAUAUAGGGCUAAAAACGAAAUGUAAGAAAUCACAGGCGCUGAUUUUAAAACUCCCAUCCCUGCAGCAUUACAAGAGAGAAAACAAACUUGAUCAAAAAAAAAGGAGAGAAAACAAACAAACAGGCUUCAAGGUGGAAAUGAAUGAAUGUCUAUUGUGUUUUUUUUUUGUCAAUGAAUAAACUUUGUUCAUAUAUACACUUGGAUAAAAAUGACUCAAUCAACUUUAGUGGUUAUGUUUAUAUUCAAAGAUGGCGUGCUCAGGAUUGUCAAAAGAUUCGUUAGUUGGGUUUACAUUAUUUAUUCACUUGUCUUGAAAUGGCAAAUAUAUCUUGGUGACGUGACAAUCUUUUAUUCACUUGUCUUGAAAACGUUGACUUUUUAAAAAAAAUAUGUUUAAAAUCAUAAAGGCUGUUCAAAUAGUACAGAUCGUGUAGAUUAUUCAGAUACUGUAGGUUAUAUAAGAUAAUGUAGGUUAUAUAGAUCAAAUGGGAUAAAUGCAAAUUAAAUAAAUGGAUAAAUGCAGAUCAAAUAGAUUAAAUAUUUUAUUAUAUCUAUGAAUUAAAUCUUGAUCCGUACAUUCACAUGAGUAUUUUUUUUUCAUCAAUGUCGAACAUUUUGUUUUAAUUGUUUAAAUUUUGAUUCAGUUUUUGUUCAUGGAUCAGUUCAGUUUUUCUUUAUUAUUGAUCUGUUCAAGUUUUGCAGUUAUGGUGAUUGUAAUUUUAGAAGCUAAUCACACACGCUUAAACCAAACCAUCAAAGUCAAGCGAGGAAAGAUGACAUAAUACAUAAUCAUAUACUUCAACCAUUUUCAUGAUCUGGAGCGUUUUUUUCCCAGAUCUGUCUUGCUUUAUCGUUUACUUCCGCGAGUUAGUGGCGCGUGGGCUUUGGAAGAGUCACACCUGACAUGGAUCUGUCCUUUCGUCAUUAUGGAGAGGCUGUUGUCUCUGUUAGUUUGUUGCCUUGGUGUCUCGGCUUUGGACACGGUUUCAACCCCUUUCAAGAUGUGCCUCAGAGGUCCUCGACUUCUAGACGUGCAGCGGUGGUCUCUUCUCUUGCGGUGUCCGAUGCAGGUUUCCUCGAUGGCGCGUGAAGACCUUCGGCUCUCUUGACGCGUGGAGUUGUCUAUGCUCAGGCGUUGGAGAUCCGGUGGUGUUCUUCGAUCUUUGUCUCCUCUAUCCUUCGGUUUAAGCAGCAGAGAGCCCUUCUCGGAACUGUGCACCUUUUGUUUUGGGUUUUUCGAGCCGGUUCUUCAUCGUAUCUGCAACUCCGUCCUGUCACCGGUUGUUGCUUCAGCCUAGCCUUUUGAUUCAUCCUCUAAUUUUUAGAGGUGAUGCGUGUGAGAUGGUUGGACCUUCAGGUGGUCUAUGCAGGUCCAUUUCCCUCUCUGUGACGGCGCGUUUGGUCUCCAGCUAUCCCAGUGCUUGGUGGGUCUUCGAUCUUCUCGUCAAGCUGGAGUCCAUCAAUGGCUUGCAGGUGAUCGUCUCAGCGUGUUUUUAGACAUCUCCAUCUGAGCCCGUUUUAUGGCUUCGUUUGGCCAAAGCGUCUCCGUUUCGGUUCUAGGAAGCCUUCAGGUUAUCUAUCCCCUCCCCUAUCUAUAGUUCAAGAUCAAGUCUCGGGUUAGUGUGUUGAAUACGACCUCUCCGUAUCUCCGUACUGGUCAGCGUCUGGCAAGAUAGACAGACUUGUUGAGGAUGGUGGUUCCCCUUAACUAGUUGGUAUGUUUCAAUUUCCAGUUCUUGAUAGUCGGUAAGAGAAAGAGAGUGUCGUGUGGAUCGAGCAGCUGUGUGUCGGUGCUGGUUUGAGAAAAAGUAUCUUUGCAGUGGUCGACUAAAUUUCGAUUUGGUCGGCUUUGUUGGCCGCAGACUUCUGGUGAUGACGGAACCGGUAACGGGUCCUCGAACCUUAGGUUUUUUCCCUCCUGCUGUAUUUAUUCUUUUUUCUCCUUGUGUAUUAGUGAUAAGCCUAAUUUAUUUGUGAGAUUCACUGUUUGUUCGAUGACUAGCCAGAUGUCUUGUUCCGAUUCACUGUUUAUAUAUUAAAAAAAAGAACUUGAGACCUUUUGCGUAAAUGAAGAAUACCAAAGAAUAACGGCAAUCCAUACUAUUAUUUGUUUAAGGGACUAAGACUAUUUCCAAUGGUGCACUCUAUUUUUCAUUCUAAAAAAGAUUAAUUUUAUAAUAAAGUUGAGUUAUACUAUAAUGAUAUUUUAUUUUAGAGUAAAAAAUAGAGUGAUGAACAAAAAGAUAACGUACUUAAUAUAUAGAGUAAACUCAUUUUUACUCUAUUAUUGAGUGAAAAAUAAAGUACCACUAGAGCGCUUUUACUCUAAACUUUAUUUUAGAGUGAAAAAUAAAGUGAAGUUGGAGAUGCUCUAAUGUGAACUUUUUCAAAGUUUGUUGUUGUAAAGUCUAUAUAAACAUGAUCUAAAUUGCAUAUAUACAAGAAUUUGUUCAAGAUCAGGUGCACGUGAGAUAUUUCUCAUAUAUGUUCAAGGCCGGCUUAGGCUUCAGGCUUGGUCUGAUAUGCAUAUCUGAAAUAUUUAUUCCGUAUGGUUAGGAUGUGAACUUUGGUUCUUAUUAUGUUUUAAGAUUCCUAAUUUUGUAUGUGACUGGGAGAAAAAAAAAUGGAAGUCACUGUGUUUAAAUUAGAGCAAAGUGGAAAGAGUUCUGUGCAAAUCUCACUUAUCAUAAUUUGGUUGGAUAUUAAUUUACACUAGGUAGUAAUCUGCCAUGAGUGGAUGGUGAAUAGUUGGUUAGAUUAUUGGUUUGACAAUGUAACAAGAACAGGCUGGAAGCAAAAAAAAUUUUUUUGGGCUACUUACAUAUAAAAAAUUAGAAAUAGUAGUUGGUUGUACUUGAACCCAACACCUCAAACACACUAUUCGUAACUAUAAACAAAUUACUCUACCAUAGAUUUUGUUAAAAAGAAGGCCGACAUAUUUCAUAUUUUAUGAAAGGCUAGAAGUACAUGCUUCCUUUGCUUGUAUCCAUGGCCGCUAUUAAACAAGAGACUAGCUUAAGAUAUAUGCGUCUUGCACGAGAUGAACAAUAUGUAUUGAAAUACAUUUUAUAUAUUAUUAUUUAUUUUGUAUUAAUUUACGUAUUAUAUAUAUAAUUAAAUUAGAUGAAGUACAUAAAUCAAAACAAUACUUUUGUUUAUUUACAAUAACGUUUUUGGUAAAUAAAUCAAACAAUCAUUUUAUUUAUUUUAUAGGGUAUAUGAUUAAAUUUCAAUGAUAUUAAUAACAUAGAUAUACAUUAUAUUUUCAUAUCUAUCUUUUAAUUGGACCUAUUCAAUAAGUCAUCACUUAAAAAUCACGCGUUACUUUUACAUAUAACUAGGUCCUUCUCCGCGCUACGCGCGGAUAGUAUUUUAAUUUUUUUUAUAUUUUUGUACUAUUAUGUCAAUUGUUUAGUUUUAUAAAAUGUUAUGUCUUUUACUGUAAAUUUGGAAAUAAAAAUCUAAUUUUUCCUUAUUGUAAAGUAAGUUAAUUUUUUUGAAUCUUACUACAACACAUUAUAUAUGAAGAGAAUAUAGUUGGUCUUUAUAUUCUUAUUUGGUGUAAUAUUGAUGGUUUGUUUAAAUGGUUUUUUCAAAUUAUAUAUUUUAGGAUUGAUUUUCGUGACUAUAUUCUAUAAUUGUCUAAGAAAAAAUUGUUUGUCCAAUAUAGACAUCCCAAUAAAUAUGGACUUCUGAUAAAUUUGUUCAUUGGGAUAUUUAGUUUCACUUUUAAUUUUAUUCUUUUUUUUUGGCACCCUCAUGCUAGCUUGUGGGGCUAGCCAACUUGGUGCAAAAGGGUUUACAAAAGCUGAUUGAGAUGCGCGUGAUCGGACACUUUUUGCUAGGCUAUUCGUACGAAAUUUUAAAGAUCUAGGAAUAUAAGCAAUAGAAAGUUCAGAAAAUUCUUUGGAUACAGCCUGUAUUUCGUCGAGCUCCGAGUCCAACGCAUGCCAAUCUUCCUUCUUUUGAACGAGUAUAACCAGUUGUUCACAGUCGAUUGAAAGACCAUAUCUCUGUGUCCAAACUUCAGUAUCACUUACAUUGCCCAUAUCAAACCUUCAACUUCCGCUUGCAGUGGUGAUUUGGUGCGUGUAUAUCGGCCUUUGCUCCAAACAGCAUUGGAAAGUCACCAUCCAUUUACACAAAGCCAAGUCCAGAUUUGUCUCUUUCAUUUAUCCAGGAUGUCUAGCAGGAACGUUUCUUUGCGGAGGAACAGUUGUGUCCGUUACCUCAACUCCCAUAUCAAUCUCCAUAAUCUCAUCUAUACGUUGAGCUUGUUGCUUCAAUUUUAUUCGCUAAUGGGAAAGACCUUAUUCCUACGACACUAUUAAUGAUUAUUUUUUUUUUGUAACAUAAAUACAGCAAACUUAUGUUUUAUUUAACAAAACUCUUAUUUUAAUUUUGUAUUAAAGAAUCAAUUAUAUUUUAUAUUAUCCAUAAUUUUAGUAAAUUUGCUUAUUUGUCAUGUUUUUAUUAGGUUUUAGUUAAAUCAUUGAUUUAUUAUUUAUUUUUAGCUAAGUCACUAAUUUACUAAUUUUAAAAAUACCCUUAAUUAAUAUUAUAUAUAUAUAUAUAUUAAAAAUGAAUUUUAUUUUAGUAAUAUUAAAUUUCUAUUUUAUAUUAAAAUUUAGUUAGUUUUUCUUAUUUGUCAUAUUUUAUUAGGUUUUAGCUUUUAGACUGGUUAUUGAUUUAUUAUUGAUUUCUAACUGAUUCGCUAAUAUGUUAAUUAAUACAAUACCCUUAAUGAAUUUUAUAUAUAAUUAAAAACGAAUUUUAUUUUAAUCAUAUAAAAUUUAUAAAAUUUAUAUGUUACAUUAAUAUUAAAUAAUUGAUUCUAAAAUAAUAUAAUAAAAUUAUCAAAAAAUUUUAAAAUAAGAUAAUUCUUAUAUAUAUUUUGUUGCUAUUUGAAAACAAUAUUUUUAUUAUAAAAGUUAAAAAGAUACAAAAAUAUAUUAUUAAAUAUUAUUCAAGAAAAAACAUUUAUAUAAAGAUAUUUUCUAAACUAUUUUUAAGAUAUGAGUGUUUUAAAAAUUUAACACGAGAUGUUUAGAACACGGAAUUAUGCUUAUGAAAGAGUGGCUCGGGAAUGGGCUUCGAGAUGGGUCGAAUGGGCUCUGAAAAUAGUUUUUUUUUUAACUCAAACCAGUCCGGAUGACAUGGCAUCUUGGUUGGUUCACAAUAUUUUGCCCAUGUAGCAGGGUUUAGAAAAGUGAGAUUUAGUCUCUUUUAUAUAGUAGGAUGUUUUGGACCUACGUAUUAAAAUAAACCAAAAUGAUAACCGAUGUAAUUAUUCUAAACUGACCGAACACAAAACCGUUUGUUAAAUAUCCACUUCAUAAAUAUUUACUGAGCUGACAUGCCUGCUUAUAAAUCAGUUUAUCUUCUCUUAUGUUAUAACUAGGGGUUUCCCGGGCUACGCCCGUAUUCGGAAAAAUAUAUUUACAUAUAAUAUAUAAAAUACAUAAAUUAUGGUUAAUUUAUAAAAAAAUAUAUUUUAUAACGAAUUUAAAAUGCUUGAAAUUUAAAUUUAAAGUGGUUAUCUUUUGAUUAUACUAUAUAGAGGAUGAUGUAGAUGCAGAUCAAUAAAAGUUAAUUAAAACUGUAAUCUAAAUACUUAUUUAUCUGACAUAUUUGUUGGAUUCUCAUGAAAAUAUGUUAUUAAUCACUAUUGAUCCAAACUUAUGCACAACUCAUAGUUUCAAUAGAAAAAUCAACAAAUAAUCAAUAGUCAUAUAUAUAUAUAUAUUUGUAAACUAAUGUAUAAUAUUUAAGAUAUGUGACUUAUUUGAUCAAAUUGUGUCAUUAAUUUAUGCAGAUCAAUUCGAAUGGUAGAAAAUACCUUGAUAACUGGGAGCAAUUACUGGAGUGCAAGAGUGUGGUCUAUCUCCAGUCUCCAAAGGCUCAUUCGAUUCUGUUUUAGCUUGCCAUGCAGAAUGGGGUUCGGAAACACUUAUGAGAUUCUGGUUUUCUGCGUUGUAUGAAGUCGAAGUGUGUCCAAUUACGUACAACCUUAAUGUAUUCAUGCUUGAAUUAUAUUAGUUGAUUGUUUAUGUGGAAACAGCCAUCCAGGGUCCUUUAUUAAAAAUGAAUAUAAAUUGCUGCCAAGUUGGAGCUUGGUUGCAACAAAUUUAAAAACAAAAAACCAAACAUGGAAAUUAAAAACAAAAGGGAAAUAGUUAAUGUUCAGUUUGUAAUACACGAACAUAAAUCUUAGUGGGAACUACGGCUUACUACACUUCCAACUAUCACUCAAGGUAGCGUUUGCAACUCUUCUCUUGGCCUCCAAAGCUGGGUGGUGUUGUUGAUCCACUGCCAUCACUUUUGUAGCCGCAUCUAUCGGAUCGCUUGCAGAAGCAGGUGGUUGCUCACUUUGGCUUACCACUUGUGGAGCUCUGUUGUUACUUUCACCCUGAUACGAACAUGAAGUUUUUUUUCUAGAUCACCUCCAUCCAGGUUAUUAUCUCAAACUGUGUUUUAAAUGGUGCAUGGCGAUCCAAGGCGAUGAGGUGUGUGCCUUACGCCUUGCGCCAUGGCGCAAGAAAGCGCUCGCCUUGAAGACCCACUUGAAGAAUACGUUAGUUAUGUCUUGUUAUGUAUCCGUGCGUAAUAUACAAAUUUCAUUCACGUGAUGAUUUUAUCUUUUAUUAAAUAGUUUUUAUCACAAGAAAGCCCCUUGAGAUUAGAGAAGAUAGUACAUACUAACCUUAUGCAAAACACAGUCCAUGAGAUCCAUGUUUUGUUAAGUUUUUAACUUUGCUUUUCUAAAAGAGCAAGCUACGGUUUUGAUAAGUUUUUAGACGUUUGGUUUUAAGUUUGGUUAAAGGUUGGUCCAUUUAUUAUGUUAGGGUUUCUACGUGGUUUAGUAUCGGUUAACGUCAUCGUCUCCAUGGCGUGCCUUUGUGUUGCCUUUUAAGGCACCGCCUUAUGACCAAUGCGCACUUGGCGAGCGCCUUACGGAACAUACCCUCGCCUUGGAGGUCCAUGGCGGUAGGGCUGUCGCCUUAGUUCGCCUUGCCCCUUGGCGCAAAAGGCGCUCGCCUUUUUAAACACAGAUCUCAACAAAGCUUAGCUUACAAUUUAUAUUAAAAAAAAAACAAAGCUUAGCUUACCCCUGAAUGGUCUUCACAUCCACAUCUCCAGUAGACACUGUGAAGGUCCGGUAGUGGGGACUGGGGAGUGAAAUUGUAGGGUGUCACUCGAAUCUAAAAGAGGCACUGCUUGCCAGCAAGUUCUUUGAAGCAUCUUGGGAGCUCUUACACUCCACCGCCAAUUAGUCUAUCAUACGUUAAUUUUUUUUUUGUUAAUGACAGUGUCGAUAAUGCUUAAGGAAAUGUAAGAUGAGUUGACUGUGAGCGGAGACGGACGCCUCUAGGGCCAGAGGCUGCACCUUUCUUAGGGAUUUUCGUCAGCUUCAUGGAUCUUCACAAAGGCAAUUGAGGAGAUGUCAAUAGGUACUUCAUAAAAUGAUAUAGUUCUCGCAAAAAAUGGCAGAAUAGAGUUAUAGUAACCUGGUCGGUGGACUUGGAAAGGUGCGUGCAAAGAUCCCCCAAUUGACACAAGUUCUUGCUUUUGAAUCUCUCCCAUUGUCUCGACAUGUGGGAAAUCCUCAGCAGCUGCACCUCCCAAAAUGAGGAUGACACAUUAUUUUUUUGUAAAAUUAUUACGAAAAAAUAUAUUUAAUGUCAAUGACCAUAUAGAUAGUUAGCAGACCCAUGUUAAUAUAAAUUGCAAUAUGGACUGACAUGAAGGUUGAAAAACAAAAUAUAGCAUGGAACCAUAUGUUAUACAUUUUUACUUAAAUGAUUGGUCAUGUAUUUUUGAGUGAGACUUGCGACAUACAUGUUGAUGAAAGCUUGGCUGGUGUAAAUGUUCAAGUCAAACUAUAACUUGGAACUAACCAUGGUGUCCACCAUGACAGAGUGUGUAAUAUCAUAUAAGCUCAUAUGCUCCCUAAAAGUUGUGACAGCGGCGCCCCAUAGUGACACAUACAUAAUGACAACGGUCGGGAGAUAUGAUGAAGAUGAUUUUUAGGUUCAAAUAACUGUUCAAACCAUGGAGAUAAGGUAAAGGUGAUUACCUGAGAGGGCCGACCAAGGCCGAGAUCGUUAAAGGUUGUGUGCUGAGCAGCAAGUUCAGCGGAAAUUCCAUCGGAGGCAGCCAUUUGCAGAGGAGUGGUUAAGGGUUCACAGGAAAAGAAACUCAGCUGCAAGUACAGCUGUAAGAGCAAGAAGACAGUGUCAGCCUUAAAAAUACAUAAGAUCUGAAUCUGUGGAAUGAAACCAAGAUUAUGAACGAUUCAGUCAAACUUGGUAAUAAAUCAAAUCAAGAUUAAGAAUCAGGUUUGAACAUGUGAAAGCUUGAGCAUAGAUUAAAAUAAAAAGAUUUAGCAGCUGAACAAAUGAGUAUUGUAGUUAUCAGAAAGAACCAGAUCUUGAUAACCCACGAAGAGGCUGAUCACAUAAAUAACAAUUCACAAAAGAACCUAUCUAACUUUAAGUAAUGUAAGACACUAACCUUCUUCUUCUUGACAGGCUUAAGGAUCUUGAUAACACACUUCUCGUUGCUGUUCAUGUUAAUCCCCUCUAAAACCUCACUGUAUUUGCCUCUACCCACUUUCCUCACUACCUCGUAAUCAUCUUGCUUCCUAAAGAAACCAAACACAAAGAAGAAAGCUUGAACCUUUUAACAAAAGCAUCAUCAUUACCUAUCAUAUACAGAACUAAACCAAACAACUUCUCCUCAAACAGAUCAAAUAUCAAUAGCCAUAAAGGCUAAAACUUUCGUAUCAAUUCCACAAAAAAGACUCAUACCGAACUGACCAAUUAACUCAACAUCAUAUACUGUAAAUCAAUCUCCCUGGAGAACAAUAAAAAUGAGAAUGAUGAAUAUAACCCCAUACCGAACUGACCAAUUAAAUUGUUGUCAUUUCACCACUGCAUCUUUGUUAUCCUCAAAAUUGUCACAAAAAUGUGUGUAGCUGGUCGUUAAUAGCAGAUCCUGAAACUAAUAAUGAAAUCACAGUUAGAAUUAGCAUUCGUCCGUUAGCAUGCAAAUUCUGUCUUUUUAAACCCAAACCUUAUAAUACAUUAAUAUUGGAAUUUCAGAGCAAGAAAAAUAAAGGAUUCAGAAUAGCAGGCCUUACCUUCUCGUCGAUGAAGAGUAGUUGAAGACCAAUAAGCAUCUGGUUUAGGAUUCUGGCAAACAUGUCGUCGAAGAAGACGGUGUGAGGAGUUGUGAUGAUGGAUUUAGAACCUUUAAGAGUCAUCAUGCGCAUGUAUUUGUGGUGAGAAACAUCAUGUAAGUCAGGCAUCGCAUAUGUACUGAAGUAGGAAUACCUGAGGAAUGAAUCAUCAUCCAGAAGUUACGAUCUUGACGAUGACAAUCAGAGAUGCAGAUAGUGGAAGAACGGGAGAAGCCAUCGAUAAAGACAUGAGAGCUAUAUGGCAUAGAUUUUUUUUUCCGGUGGAUUUCAUGGCCAUGGCUGUAGCUUUUCAGAGUAGAGUUUGAUUUAGGUUUAGAUAUAGAACUGUAGAGAAGGAUUAAGGGGAGAUGGAACGAAACAUUUAAGAAUAAAUUGAUGAUCAUGAUAAAUUGAGAAAGUAACGUAAGGAAAAAAAAUCAGAAUUAAAAAAAAAAGAUGAAGUGGAUAAGUCGGGAACAUGGUUACUUAACAUGGGCUAGAGUGGGCCGAACAAUAAUUGUAAUACAACCCACAUGAAAGUUCAUUUUAUAUCAGCUAUGGUGAUAUCGCAAAAUUAAACUUCCUCAUUGGUUGAUUUAAUCUGCCUACGUGGACAGGUUAAAUGGUGAGGAUUUCUCCUUUUAUUAUUGUUAGAUGGCUUGACUACUAAAUAUAAUUGGACGUAAAUGGUUGUUUACUUCCUUCUCUUCUGUUAAUGAACUGAACCUGCAAGAAACCUUAAUCAACUAAAAAAAUUAUUUGUCCCAGUAUUUCCAGACUCACCAUUAUAACAUUCUCUAUACAAAGUAGACUCACCAUUAUUCUUACGCCUAUUUUUAUUUAUCCCAGUAUUUCCAGACUCACCAUUAUAACAUUCUCUAUACAAAGUAGAUUCACCAUUGUUCUUACGCCGAUUUUUAACUUUCAAACUUUCUUCUUUUCAGGUCUUUUAAAUAUCAUAUAUGGAAGCUACAAACUGUUCUCCAAUAUCUUACAAAAAAUAUAAUCCUCAGAUUUAGUUAAAUCUUUGAGUUUUAUAAGUUCGUUGUUGUGUUCAGGCUCUCCAAGAUAAGGUGUGUUCUCAUCAUUCUGAGUUCUCUUUCUCUCCAACAAAAACUAAUUAAAUUGACGGAGGAAAACUGAAGCCAUAUGCAUUUCAAAUCUAAUCCCUUGAUCUGAUGAUUUUAACAGUGACGGUAAUUGUAGCAUAUGAGAAAAUGGUGUUUACUGAAAAUGUUGGUGUGAGAAAAUGGAACUGUGGGAAAAACAAGACAAAAACACACUUUUUGUUAUUUAUUUAAAGAACUUUUUAUUAACAUCAUUUACUAAUUCAUCUCUAAAAUUUUUAGUUUCAUAUCAGCAAAUGAUCAUUCUAUUUUUGUGCAUAUCAUUAGCAUUUUCAACUUUAAAAUAAAAAUUAUUCCAUGCUUUAGCGCCGGUUUGAAUCUAGUAAGUAUUUAUUAUUGAUACUUUACACUCAUAUGAUUUUAUUAACAUUUUUAUAUUUACUGUUACAAAAAAAAAUUAAACCAAUUAAUCACAAAAAAUUUAAUGUGAUAUUUUUCCAAUGCAAAUUUCAAAAUUUAAAAUAUUAAGCUCACGAUGCUUUUUCAAAGCAAAUUCCAAAAUAACAUAUUUAUGUAUUUUAUGUGGUAUAUAGUUUAAUUUAAACGAUAUUAAUAUAUAUAUAUAUAUAUAUAUUUAAUAUGAAUAUCUGUUAAUGAGACUUCGUAUUUAUAUGAUUUUAUGAUCAUUUAUAUCUUGUUAUAACGAAAAAAGUUAAACCAUUUAUCAUAAAAGUUUUAAUGUUUCAAUGUGUGACUUAAUUUUUUUAGAAAUUUAUAGCUGUUUAAAAAAAAAAUUCAAAACAUAACAUAUAAGAAAAAAUCUAAAUUUUCUUAUUAUAUGAUUAAUGUGAUUUUUAAUUUGUUUUAAUAAUAUAAAAUUAAAAAAAAAGGAAGUAUACAAAAAUUUUCAUCAAAUAUUUAUUAUUCAUAAUAAUUAAUUGUCAUGUUAAUCAUAUCAUGUAAUUCUGAAGUUUUUAUUCAUAUGAUUGUUUUGUUGUUCCCAUCCAGAGUAACGAUAGAAACGGGCUUAGGGUUUUGUUUGAUAAAAUUGAUCUCUUCACUCAAUCCUUUCGAUCAAUGUCUUCUAUCCAACACCACCUCUUUCUAUUUCUCUAUGUACCUAUUGCUGGUUUUAUUAACAAUUAAUCUAUUUCUUUUCAUGUUUCUUUUGUAACCGAAACUUUUUAAAAAAGCAUUUUGGUUAUUAUAAUAUCCCGAGUUGUGAUAUAUGAAAAAGUUGAAGAGGUUAAUAUAUGAAAAAGUUUAAGAGGUUUGAUUUGGAUACUUAUGUCACCAAAGUAAACUUACCUUUUUCGUCACACAUCCGUUUAAAAUUUUAGAAUUAACCAUGCUUGAGCUGGAGUAAUGGAAGGAUGGGUGACCUGUCAGGAAGUGAUUCGCGAUACCGUGUGAGUGAGGCCAAAGCACGGGAAAAGGUCAUGUGGUGAUUGCAGGGUCAGUAAACAAUGAUUUUAAGCUUUCGGAAAAAUUAUCGAACCGACCGUUGAAACGGGAUGGGAUCCACGGUUCGAGUGAGCGGGUGUGGGUGGCCCUUUAGCCGUGGGUGGUUGGGGUGUUAUAAGUGGUAUCAGAGCCAUGUUAGCCAUCUCGGUUCUGACCCGAGAGGCGUCUUGAGACCUAUCGUGUGGGGCACCGAGGAUGUUGCGUUCUUUGAGAGGGGUGAAUUGUAACAUUCCAAGUUGUGAUAUAUUGAAAGGUUUAAGAGGAUUGAUUUGGCUAUCUAUUUCACCAAAGUUGACUUACCUUUUCCGUCACACAUCCAUUUAAAACUCCAAAGUUAAGCGUGCUUGAGCUGAAGUAGUUGAAGGAUGAGUGACCUGCCGGGAAAUGAUUCGCGAUACCGUGUGAGUGAGGCCAAAGCACAGGAAAAAUGUCAUGUACUGAUUGUUUAGUCAAUAAAUAAUGAUUUCGAACCUUCGAAAAAAAUUAACAAACCGACUUUUGGAACGGUAUAGAGCCCACAUGCCGAAUGAGCGGGCGUGGGUGGCCCAUUUGAAAAUUUAUGAGAAUUAGUGAGAGUUUAUGAGAAUUAUUUGAGAGAUUUUGGUGAAGAACUAAGAGAGAUAUGUGAGAAAAUCCAAGAGAGAGAAACAAGAAUAUUUGAGGAACAUUUUUUCUUAGAUUGAUUUAGUGUCUACAAUAGUUACAUAAAUAGAUCUAGCAAGGAGAAUAAGACAAUGAGAAUGAAUAAACAAAUGGAGAUGAAUAAACUAAUGAAGACCAGAUUUGGGAAAGUCACUUUCGGAUAGUGACAACUCUCUUCUCUCUUCCUUCCUUAGCAUAUCAUGUGACUUUGGCUUGUUUCUACACUCCAACAGAUCUAUCCAGUUGCCUCCACUUGUUUAAAUUCGUCCAAGACUUCAGGCAAGAUAUUUAAAUCAGUCUCACACAUUUCCUUGCUUCAGUUUUCCUGUCAAUGAUUUCCUGUCCAUGAUUUCAUGUCCAUGAUUUCUUGUCCAUGAUUUCCUGUCCAUGAUUUUCUGUCCAUGAUUUUCUGUCCAUGAUCUCCUGUCCAUGAUCUCCUGUCCAUGAUCAAUCAUGUUCUUCAUGUCUUUACUCUUGCUCUUUAUUCUCUUCAUGUCAACACUCCCCCUCAAGCUUGACCAUAGGGACUUGGUCAAGCUUGGAAACCAUGAAGCAUUCCCUCAUUAAAACCUUUACUUGGAAAAACCACUUGGGAUAAAAACCAAGCAAAGGAAAAAGAGUAGAACACUUCAUGGCAAGAGGAUCAGUGACAAGAGAGGUCUAUGAGUCCAAGCUUAGGAUGAAUGAACUCACAAACCUUGCUGCUAGCUGCCUUGGUGAAUAUGUCAGCUAGUUUAUCUUCACUUCAUGUGUAGCAUGGAAGAAUCACUUGCUGUUCCACUGCCUGUCUCACCUUGUGGCAGUCCACUUCUAUGUGUUUUGUUCUCUCAUGAAAGACUGAGUUAGAUGCAAUGUGUAUUGCUGCCUGGUUGUCACAAUGCAUAGUCAUUGGUGUGUUGAUCUCAAUGCCCAAGUCCCUUAGAAGUCCCUUGAUCCAUAUAAGCUCACUUGUGAGCUUCCUCAUUGAUCUGUACUCUGCCUCAGCACUUGAGCAGGACACCAGCUUCUGCUUCUUACUCUUCCAUGUGACCAGGUUUCCUCCAAUGAAGGUGCAGUAGCCUGUAGUUGAUCUCCUAUCAACUCUGUCUCCAGCCCAAUCAGCAUCACAAUAUCCAACAACUUCAAUACUCUUGUUACAUGCCAUCCAUACUCCUUGGCCAGGCGCCUCUCUUAGGUACCUUAAGAUCCUCUCCACCAUAUUCUAAUGAUGCAUCUUAGGAGCUCCCAUGUGUUGACUCACUUGAUUCACAGCAAAGCACACAUCUGGUCUGGUGAUAGUUAGAUAGAUGAGCUUGCCCACCAUUCUUCUAUACUUCUUGAUAUCUCCAAAUGGUGUAGACUCAUACUCUCCCUCUCUUAGCAUCUUGUAUCCUUCUUCUAAUGAAGUCUUGGCCUUUUUACUCCCAAGGUUUCCUGCCUCAUUUAAACUAUCAAGUGUGUACUUCCUUUUAGAUAAGAAUAACCCCUCUUUAGAGCGGCAUAUCUCAAUCCCAAGGAAGUACUUCAACUCUCCCAAAUCUUUGAUAUCAAAUGCAUUUUUAAGAAAGGUUUUAGUUGAGAGAAUACCUUCCUUGUUGCUACCAGUGAUGAUAAUGUCAUCCACAUAGACUAAGAUGACCACAAUACCUUGCUUACUAGUUAAUGUGAAGAGGGUGUGAUCAGCUUCUGACUUUACAAAGCCUCUUCCAUUGAGAGUGGUGCUCAACUUAUGGUACCAAGCCCUUGGAGAUUGCUUCAAGCCAUAAAUUGCCUUUUUUAAUCUGAGAACAUUUCCUGGCUUCACCAUAUUCUCAAGACCAGGAGGUGGUCUCAUGUAGACUUCAUCCUCCAAUUCUCCUUGAAGAAAGGCAUUCUUCACAUCCAUCUGCCAUAAAUCCCACUCCAGGUUGACAGCAAGAGACAAGAGAAUUCUUAUAGUGUGAAGCUUGGCCACUGGUGCAAAAGUGUCUAGAUAAUCUUCACCAUAUACUUGAGUAUAUCCCCUGCAACCAGUCUUGUUUUCUUUCUUUCUGGUUUUCCAUUGGCUCCAUACUUGAUAGUGUAGAGAAGUCGGCUUGUCACUGCUUUCUUUUCUUUUGAAAGUUCAGUCUCAAACCAUGUAUCAUUCUUGAUCAUGGCUCCCAUCUCAUCUCCAACAGAUUCUCUCCACUCUUUGUGUUGCAUAGCUUCUUCAUAUGUUCUUGGAAUGUACUCCUGAUCCAAUUCACUGAUGAAGACUUGAUGCUCUUCUGGAUAUUGAGCAAGGGAGCAUACUGCACUUAUUGGGUGAGCUACAGCUUCAGCAUUGAAGUAAACUCUUGUGUUGAUCCAGUGUGAAGGUUUCCUGAUCCUUGUACUCCUUCUCAAAGGUCGUAACUGCUGAGGUUCUGCUUCAUUUCCUUCACUUGGCACCUCUACUUGAGUCUCGGCAUCUGAUUCUGAUGCCAUCUCAUCUUGAUCAUGAGCUACUGAGUUCUCUUCAGGUUGAGUUUGCGUAGACUGCUCAACAUUUCUACUGCCACCCUCAUGAUCAGGAUGAGUGUUCUGAACACUAUCAGUUGCAGUAGAUGGUACAUUUUCAGGGAUAGGUUCCACCCUUGGUAGAGAAGGCAUACUGAUUCCCAGGCUCUCCAUUACUCUCCUAAGGUUGUUUGCUCUAUCUGAAGCUGAUUGAGAAAGAUCUUUGAGCUCAUCCCAACUCUUUCCAUCAUAAUAGCCUCUAGAUUCUACAAACUUCACAUCCCUUGAUAUCAAGACUCUCCUAGUCUCUGGAACAAAGCAUUUGUAGCCCUUUUGGUGAGGAGAAUAUCCAAUAAACACUACCCUGGUGCUUCUAUGCGCCAGCUUAUCUCUUUGUUCUCCUGGAAUCAAGACAAAUCACAAGCACCCAAACACACGCAUAUGCUCUAUGGAUGGUUUAGUUUUGUUCAGUACCUGAUAUGGAGAUUGAUCUUGAAGGAUCCUGGUAGGUAUCCUAUUGAUCAAGUAGCAGGCAGUAAGGACAGCAUCUCCCCAAUAGCUUUUGGGCAUGCUUGUAUGGAACAUCAUGCUCCUUGCAACCUCCAUGAGAUGUCUAUUUUUCCUCUCAGCUACUCCAUUUUCUUGUGGGGUGUAUGGACAGCUAGUUUGAUGGAUCAUCCCAUAUUUGGCCAAGUGUUGUUUAAAAGCAUUGCUUGUGUAUUCUCCUCCAUUAUCUGAUCUCAAAAUUUUUAUCUUGGCAUUGAAAUGGUUAGAUACAUAAUUUUGAAAAUUUAUGAAAGCUUCGAAGACCCUAUCUUUAGAUUGCAUAAGUGUGAUCCAAGUAUAUUUUGAUUUUUCAUCUAUAAAAGUCACAAAAUACUUAUGAUGCUCUCUAGAUAAACAUGGGGCAGUCCAUACAUCAGAGUGAAUCAGGUCAAAGCAAUUUUCAUAAAUAGUAUUUGAUCUAGAGAAAACAGAUUUGCAAUGUUUGCCUAAGAUACAAGCCUCACAAUCACUCUUAAAGGAAAUACUAGGCAACAUGAUGCUUAAAGCUCUAGAUUGAGGAUGUCCUAAUCUAGCAUGCCACAAUACAUCUUUAGGAAAAUCAGAAAUAUAAUUUAAAGCAUGGGAUAAAUCGGUAGCAAGGUUAGUAUUUUCAAGCAAGUACAAGUCUCCCUUGGUGACACCUUUGCCAAGCAACCUACUAGUUUCAAUAUCCUGAAAGUAGACAUCAUUAGGAGUGAAAGUAACACUGCAAUUCAAGUCAUUAGUAGCUCUUUUAACUGAUAACAAGUUUGAGGUGAAGCUAGGCAUAUAGAAAGCUUUAGAAUCUUUGUUAAACAACCUAAGAUCACCUACUCCUUUAAUUGGUACUCUUUCACCAUUAGCUAUUGUAACAUUUCCUAAGGCAGGGACAAUGUUUUUAAUCAAUUUUAAAUCACUAAUCAUGUGGUGACUAGCUCCUGAAUCUAUAACUAAAGGUUUUGCCAAAUUAAAUUUAGUUAUCGCAUUCAAGGAAGUUCCACAAGCAGUGGCAUGUAAAGAGGUACCAAGUAAGUUACCAGAGUUAUCCUUAAGGAGUUUGAUGAGAGUCUCAAUAUCAGAUCUCCUGAUGGUCUCAUCUUGAGUGUUCCUUAAGGCUGAGCCACUCCUGGAAGCUCCCCCUUUGUUCUCACAAGCUUCAUUGGUCUGGCGCAUGCUGCCUUGUAUAGAUGGCUCACCAAUAUCACCAGAGAAGUUUGCUUUGGCAUCAUUGUAACCUGUCCUGCACUUUUGUGCCUUGAGAUGGGGAUGGAGUAUCUAGCACUUGUCCUUUCCAUGGCCUUUCUUCUUGCAAUGAUCACAAAUCCACACCUUCUUGUCUUCAGCUUUGUAAGAGCUUUCGUUUGCUGCUCUAUCAGCUUGGUUUGCAAGCACCAGAUCUUUCUUUCCUCCUCCAAAGAGACCAACUGAGCCUUGCUCCUUGUGAAUCUCAGAGCAUACCUCAUCUAGAGAAGGUAGCUCCUUAUUCCUUAGGAUGUGCUUGAUGAGAUCACCAUAGCUUGGAUGGAGGGUAAGCAGCAAAGCAAAUAGCUUGUCUUGCUCUCUCCUUUGAUUAAGCACAUCAUGAUCAAUAGUUGCUGGCCUGAGCAUCUCAAGUUCAGCCCACAAGGAUCUGAACUUCCCAAAAUGUUUAUGAAAAUCACUGUCCUCUUGACUAAGAGUAUUGAUAGCCCUCUUGACUUCAAAGACUCUACUGAUGUUGGAAUUGUUUCCAUACACCUUCUGAAGUGUAUCCCACAGUUCUUUGGAAGUUUCACAAUUGAAUCUUUGACUUAGCUGCUUUGCAAGUUGCACACCUCCCACAGAUUCUCUCAACAUCUCGUUUCAUGUGUGGCCAAAAGAAGUGAUCCUGCAAAACUUUAAGAGUCUUGGCAAUACCAAAAUGUCCCAUUAAGCUUCCUCCAUGGGAUUCCCUGACAAAUAGAUCUCUCAAAGAACAGUUAGGCACACACAAUCUAUUAUCAUAGAAUAAAAAUCCAUCUUGCCUAAAGUAAUGUCCAGCAGCAUAUUUUUCACACGAUUUAUAAGCCUCUUGAAAGUCAGAAUCAGUUGCAUACAUUUCUUUAAGUUGUUCAAAUCCUAGCAACUUAGCAUCAAGAGUAUUCAAGAGAACAUACCUUCUGGAUAGUGCAUCAGCAACAAUAUUUUCCUUACCUUGUUUGUACUUGAUCACAUAAGGGAAGGUUUCAAUGAAUUCUACCCAUCUGGCGUGCCUUUUGCUGAGUUUGUUCUGGCCUUUAAGGUACUUGAGAGACUCAUGGUCAGUGUGAAUGACAAACUCCUUGGGCCAUAGGUAAUGCUGCCAUGUUUGCAAAGCCCUCACCAAAGCAUAGAGUUCCUUGUCAUAAGUAGCAUAGUUGAGAGUUGCUCCUCCAAGUUUCUCACUGAAAUAUGCUAUGGGUCUCUUCUCCUGCAUAAGAACAGCACCAAUUCCAAUUCCUGAAGCAUCACAUUCAAUUUCAAAAGUUUUAUUGAAAUCAGGAAGUAUAAGAAGAGGGGCAUUAGUAAGCUUCUCUUUUAGGCAUUGAAAGGCAAGUUCUUGUGCUUCUCCCCAUUUGAAUCCAACUUCUUUCUUGAUCACCUCAGUCAAUGGAGCUGCUAUGGUGCUAAAGUCUUUCACAAACCGUCGGUAGAAGCCAGCUAAUCCAUGGAAGCUUCGCACUUCACUUAUGGUUUUAGGAAUCGGCCAUUCUUGUAUUGCUUUCACCUUCUCUUGAUCUACCUUUACUCCAUCUGCACUCACAACAAAGCCUAAAAAGACCAAGUUAUCCGUACAGAAAGUGCAUUUCUUAAGAUUAGCAAAUAACUUUUCUUUCCUCAAGACAUCAAGAACAGUCCUAAGAUGUUUUAUAUGCUCUUCUAAACUCUUAGAGUAGACAAGGAUAUCAUCAAAGUAAACUACCACAAACAAUCCUAUAAAAGAUCUAAGCACAUGAUUCAUCAAUCUCAUAAAAGUACUAGGAGCAUUAGUUAAGCCAAAAGGCAUCACUAACCACUCAUACAACCCAUGCUUAGUUUUAAAGGCUGUUUUCCACUCAUCUCCUUCUUUCAUUCUAAUUUGAUGAUACCCACUCUUCAAAUCUAUCUUAGAAAAAAUGCUAGAGCCAUGUAAUUCAUCAAGCAUAUCAUCUAAUCUAGGAAUAGGGUGGCGAUACUUCACUGUUAUGUUGUUGAUUGCUCUACAAUCAACACACAUGCGCCAGCUUCCAUCUUUCUUGGGCACAAGGAGCACUGGUACAGCACAUGGACUCAUGCUCUCACGGAUAUGGCCUUUCUCCAUCAGUUCCUCAACCUGCCUCUGAAGCUCCUUAGUCUCAACUGGAUUAGUUCUGUAUGCUGGCCUGUUAGGAAGAGUAGAUCCUGGUACAAAAUCAAUCUGGUGCUCAAUCCCACGUAUAGGAGGCAAACCGAUUGGAUUAUCUUCAGGAAAUACAUCUUCAAAGUCCUGUAAAAGAGCUGACACCUCACUCGGAUACUCCGGUGUAAAAUCAGUUAGAUUCAAGAGAGUUUCUUUAAACACAAGCAAAAGAAUAGGCUGAUUAGAGUAAAGAGAUCUUUUGAUAUCACCAAUCUUAGCAUAGAAGUUGUGCUGCUUGUGUUGCUCGGGUUUGAGAUCUAUUUCUUUCUUCUUCUGAAGCUGCAACUGAUCUUGAUGCACUUCCUUAGGAGUGAGAGGCACCAGAAUAGUCUUCUUGCCAUUGAACUCAAAAGAGUGCUUAUUAGUAAAGCCAUCAUGUGUAACUCUCCUAUCAAACUGCCACGGCCUUCCAAGCAAGAUAUGACUCGCUUCCAUUGGUAUCACAUCACAGAGUAUCUCAUCUUCAUAUCUCCCAAUGGACAAAGGUAUAGAGACUUGUGUGGAGACCCUCAUCUCACCUUCUUCGUUAAGCCACUGCAGCCGGUAAGGUUUAGGAUGCUUUUGAGUUUUCAAACCAAGCUUCUUCACCAUUGUCUCGCUAGCAACAUUAACACAGCUUCCACCAUCAAUGAUCAGGCUGCAUAUCUUUCCUUGAACCAUGCAGCGUGAGUAGAACAAGUUUUCUCUCUGCUCAAGCUCUUCGGUUUUAUUUUGCAAGCUGAGAGUUCUCCUUGCAACCAACAAUCUCCCUCGCACUGGUUCUUCUUCAUAUUCUUCCUCGGAAUGCUCCUGAUCAGUCUCAAGCUUCUCAUCCUCAGAUUCAAAUUCUCCAUUCUCCAAGAGGAUCAUAACUCGUUUGUUGGUGCACUCGUUUGCGUAAUGCCCACGUCCUUGGCAUUUGAAACACUUAACAUCUCUGGUCCGAGAAGAAGUAGCUUCAGCUUUCCCUUUGUCUUUGUCUUUGGUAAAAAUGCUGCCUGGCUUUGUUUCUUCUUUCUGCUGAGACUUGUUCUCCUUCUGAUAUGCUGGUUUCUCGUCUUUAACUUGUUGAUACUUGCUGGUACCGUAGCUUCCACGUGAAUGAUGCUUCCUCUUAAUCUGUUGCUCCACCAGAAUGGCUUUGUGCAACAUCUCUUCCAACUCAACAUAGUGCUGCAUCUCCACAUUGUCUUGUAUCUCACGGUUAAGUCCUCCAAGAAACCGUGCCAUAGUAGCCUCUCUAUCCUCUGAUAUACAAGCUCUCAACAUUAACAAUUCCAUCUCUUGGAAAUACUCUUCUACAGAUGAUAUAUGGUGUUUUAUACAUCUUGUAUAUAUGCUUUUAAAUUGGUUUUCAAGUCUUUAUCGAGUCUUCCUAGUCCUUUUCGAGUCAUUACAGGUCUGGAGUUGCAUUGGAUGGGAGAUGAACCAGCUGGAACAAAAGAGGCAGAAAACAGUGCAAUUUGGUGAUUUUCACGCAGAACAGUCUUGAUGACUGUUCCGGAUAGCGGAGCAACCCGAGUGACUGUUCCGAGGGAGUGUUCCAGCGGCAGAGAUUUUUAAGGAAACAACAACCUAUUUCGGGAUUUGCCCUAAUCUCUCUAUUUUCUCUCCCAGCCGCCUGUGGUUUUGAUAUAUCUUCUUUUUCUGUUUUUCCUGAUUAUUCUACGCUGUUUUUGAAAGAAGAAACCAGACCUUAGAGUUGGAGACUUGUGAUUUGAUACUUUGUAAAGGGAGAAGGAUCCAUCUCUCUCACCAUAGAGAAGAACCCCCUGAACCCUUAUUCUAUUUUAUCUACACAUGUUUUAUUCAGUCUCUGUCUCUGUGUUUUCUUGCUCCAUGGCUGAGUAGUCAGCUUGCUUAGUCUAGGGUGUUAGGGUGUUAGAUCCGUGAGCUUGACAUAAAUAAGUUAUAAAUCGAUUGUCUUCAUUCACUGUUGUUCUUAAGGCUUGCAUCAAGUUAACCACUUAGUGCCUGAUUCUAGGUUUAAUCUAUUCAUCAAAAGUGUUAUAGGUUGCUAGACAUAACUUGAAUGAGCAUUGCAUCCCUAACCAGCGAAAGUAGAUGUUAGGGUGUUUUGUGAACAUAUCGGACUUGACCUCUAUUGCUUGCUGUCGCAUCUUGAUCCAAACGAGAGUUUAGGUAUCAAGAUCGAUCAGCAUAGGGGGCAGUUCCACGACAGUGGGCUGUUCUACUUGAGUGAUCCGAGUUCUAGACUUGCUCUUAAUUAAACUUGAAUAAUUGUUUGGCUCACACUUGUUUAACACCCGAUCAAACCACCCUAGGCUAGCAUUUUUAAUUAUCUGAAUUCUUUAAUUAAUCUUGUUACUUGUUUCUCACGAAACCCUCAAAUCUUAAAACCCCCAUAUUGUUUUAGCUUGAUAUUGAUCCCAUAAAAAUAAAGUGUAACCGUUGGUCUCUGUGGAUUCGAUCCUAAAGUGCUACAUCGACAUACCAUUCGAUUGUGGUAGUGUGCACAUUAGGUUAUUUGGUGUGCGUAUACACGUAAUAUCAAAUUGGCGCCGUUGCCGGGGACCAUCUUUUUACCUUUAUUUUUCGGUUAUUUAUUUAGUCUAAGACCUCUAACUUGCCUUAUCCUUUUUGUUGCAGCUAAUGUUCCAGGUGCAUGAACAGUAGACAUACUCGGAGAAACGCACAAGGAGAGUUAGUUACAUUUACCAACCAGGAGCUAGCAAGGUUAGAAAGAACAAAUCGUCAACAGCCAAGGCAAACUGACACCACUAUGGGUGAUCACGCCAAUCAGGAUGAUCUCGCUGCGGCUAUGGCACUCAUGCAGCAGCAGAUGCAACAAAUGCAGCAGACCAUCCAAGCUCAGCAGGAUGCUGCUGAACAGGCUGCUCUCGCGCAGCAGGAACAACAGGCGCAGACUGUUCCGAUCGGGCAGAGAAACCUUCCGCGUAACAUCCCUACUACGCGCUCUGCCAUUGUUCCUCCACCUUGUACUAGGCAGGACUUUGAGAUCAAGCCUGCUUUGAUCGGUCUAGUACAGAGAAAGGUGUUCUCUGGUCUCGCUACAGAAAUUCCAAUGGAGCAUAUUGAGAGCUUCGAAAAAGUCUGCAGUUUCACUCGCGUGAAUGGUGUUCCACCAGACUACAUCACGUGCAUGUUAUUCCCAUUCUCUCUUGAUGGAAAAGCUGCACGGUGGUUGAACUCUCUCCCUACCGGCUCUCUCACUUCAUGGGAACAGGUCCGAUCAGCGUUCCUCAGCCAUUUCUACUCUAAGGCGAGAACAGCUGCAUUGAGGAACAAGAUCACCUCCUUCAGACAGCUCACUGAUGAGCUUUUCUGCGACGCAUGGGAGCGCUUCAAUGACUAUCGCAGAGAAUGUCCUCACCAUGGAUUUGAUGAUGAUUAUAUCCUGGAUAUUUUCUAUGAUGGAGUGGACUCGAAAUACCAAGGUGCUCUGAACUCUGCGAGUAAUGGAGAUUUCAUGACUCAAACCACUGCUGGAGCGUUUAAGCUGAUUGAGAACAUGGCUGCUAGUUCAGCUAAUAAGAAAGAGGAGAGUGAUUGCUCCAUGAAAGGAAACAGUUCUGACGCCCAGAAAAUAGAUGAGCUGACUGCCAAGGUUGAUCAGCUACUGAAAAACAACCAAGGGCACGUUUUCAGCAUGGAACAACCUACGGCCGGGCAUAUUCAGAACCAGAACCAGCGACAACCGCAGAGCAAUCCGCAUGCUGUUCCAGCUACCGGGAACAGUCAACCAGAUGAGCUGCAAGGUCUGGGUAUGAUGAUGCAACAGCUGUUGCAGGGUCAGCAGGUUCAGGCCAAGGUGUUGAAUCAGGUAACCACAGAAAUUGACACCAGGAUGGGCAACAUGUUCACUGAGCUGAAUAACAAGUAUGACAAUCUUGCGAUCCAUAUGAGAAAGAUCGAUGUUCAGCUUGCUCAAACAGCUGAGAGUGUCAAGAGGCAACAAGAGACGCUCCCUGGAAGAACUGAUAAAAAUCCUAGGACUGAGCACUGUAAUGCAAUAGAGCAGCCGUUCGCUGAGACUGCUCCAGGCGCAGAAGAGAGAGCAGAACAGUCUGCUAGCUCUGGAGUGACUGCUCCUAGCGAACCUGCUGAGACUCCACCAUCUCGAGUCUAUGUUCCCAAGGUUCCCUAUCCAAUUCCACCUAGACAUCUGAUGGAUCCCAUUUGUGAAGAGCAGCUGAUAGGUUUUAACAAGAUGGUGAGAAGGCUUCCUAAAGAACUUGCAUUCGAAGAUGCUCUGCAGAUUCGUCCAUUGCUCCAGUUCUUUAAACACUAUAGAGAGACUCAAGAGGAGAUCAAGGUCCUCUAUACCAGAGCACUGUCUACGCCAGCACUGAAGGUAUUGCCUAAGGUUGAUGAUCCUGGAAAGUUUGUUUUCCCAUGUUCCAUCGCAGGAACAACCUUCAAGGAUGCUCUGUGUGACUCUGGUUCUUGUGUGAAUCUCGUCUCAAAGGCUAUUGUAGACGAUUUGGGUAUUGCUGAUGUUGAGCGUUCUCAGUUGACCCUGACCUUUGCAAACUCUUCCAGAGCAGUCCCAUAUGGAACCAUCCGCAGCCUUCAUGUUCAAGUAGGGGAAUGCAUUGUUCCUGCUGAGUUUCAGAUUGUUGAGAUGAACAAAGAUCAUGAGAUGCCUUUGAUAUUUGGAAGGACAUUCAUGGCUACUGUUGGAGCAACCAUCGAUAUGCCCAACAAGAGAGUCUGCUUCUCCAACAUCAACAAGAAAGUUUUCUACAAGGCUAUACCCACCAGAUCUUCCUCAUCACACGCCUCUCGCAUCUCAGUGUUUGAUGUAGAAAAGCUGAAGGUUGUUCCAGAGAAGGAGCAUGGUGAUAAGGGUGAGAGCAGACUGUUCUUUGAUGAAGAUCCUAGCACUGAUCCUACUAAAUUCAGAGGGAAUUCAAGGGUGAAACAGAAAGUCCAGAAGAAAAGGGUCAAGGGAGAUCCUACAGUGACUUUGAUACCUCUCAAGUGUGAUGAGAACUCCAUUGAGUAUGAGGUAAAGUGCAAGGGUACCUCUAAACCGUUCUCUAAAGUCAGAGCUAUUCUCACACAUGAGCUGAAAGAGAAAGGGGAAGCUGCUGUGAAAGGGUUGUUGAGCAGGGUUUUGAAGCUGAACAUGUCUGAUUGUGGAGCUUGUUUUGGAACAGGCCCUCCUGCUCAACCCGACUGAUCCCAAUCACCAAGUCAAGCUAGAGACUUAAACCAAGCGCUUAGUGGGAGGCAACCCACUGGUAAGUGUCAUUAACAUUAGGAUUUUCUUUUUACUUAUUUUUGUUUUUAGUUUGUUGAGUCUCAGGACAUAAAUCAGAAAAAUCUGAGACCUUUGACUGGAGCAAGCAGCUGGCUGCUCUUAUUCCAGAGCAUUCUUUACCGGAGCAACCGCGUCUUGCUCUGUCAGGCUGCUCCGCGCCAGGUAAGUGUCUCAACCCAAAAAAAAAAAAAAAAAAAAAUUCUUGUUUUCUCCUUCUCUCUGAUUUAUUUUCACACCAGGGACGUUGUGAAGUAAGUCUGGGGGAGGGUUUUCGUCGUUUACUAACUCGUUUCUUUCUUUUGUUUUUCUUUUGGGUCAAUUUGAGUCAGUUUUUAUUGAGUCAGUCAAAACUUUGUGGGAAUUAGGACCUUAUUCUGUGUUGAUCACUGACCACCUCGUGCUUUAGUUAUCUUAUUCAGUGACCUUAGCAGUGGCGAAAGACACACAUGUGGACCUGGAACACCCUGACAUAUCUCACUUGAUUCUCCAGAAGUUCUCAGCCGAUCAGGUUACACUGGGUAGACUUAACUCCACCUUACUUGAACCUAAUCUUGACUGAAAUUCUUCUUGUUAUGGGCAUUAGAUCAGGGAAACGAGAACACACUCAGGACUUCUUACCCUUUUUAUCCAUCUUGCUGAUCCUGAGUAGCUAGCUCAUCUUUAGCUAGUUCUUACCCUGCACCUUAGCCUUUAUUCUACCUUCAUGCAUUUGUUUUUCAGUGUCAUAUGUGCAGAUAUGUGCAAAAAGGUCGGAGAGGAAAGGAUCAACGCAGCCUGCUACUCGUUACUGCUACAGAAAUUCAGUAAGAAAGGAGAACAAGCAGAUUAAGGGAGCAACUGCUCCAUAACCAAUGAACUGCGCAAGAGCAGGGGUGGAGAACCAGAAUGGUUGCAAAAUCAGAACCACCAGUGGCACUCUGAACGAUCAUGUAUUACCUCCUUCUUCGUCACAUCACCAUAUCAGUCUUCAAAAAAAAAAAAAAAAAAAAAAAAAACAAAAAAACCAGAUUAAUGUGAUGGAGAAGGGGAAGAAAGAAAAGAAACAUGGAGCCACUGGAAAGGUCGAGCAAGAAGUUGGUACCAAGUAUUGAAGAGUGUGUAGAGGAAAGUAGAAAGCAGAACAAUCAGUUGCCUGUUCCGUCAUCAGAACAGUCGCACCAGAUAGAGCAAAAACGAGUAGAGCUGUGGACAUCAAUGGAUCUAUCCUCUCUUGCCAUUUUGUGUGAUAUCCUGCAUCCUCUUCAAUGAAAUGGUAGCCCCUAAACACUCUUAACUCCACCAUUAAAUAGCCUGUUCCACACCUAGACCGUCUACCCUGAAUGAUGCCUAUGAUGAGAAGCUCACGCUACUCUUAAAUGAAUGUAGGGAGUUCUGUCUCGAUAGUGUUGCUUUUUCAGGUUUGAGAUGAAGAGUAUGGAGCCGAUUUUUGAACAGCAGUCAGUGGGGUUCCGGUAAGGGUGUGUUGUCCUAGUUUUACUGCUUGUAUGGUUCAGAGAUUCGUGGUUAAAGUAUGGUUGCUGAGAAUAGGAGAGUUCCCACACUUUCAAACCUUUCUCCCUGUUCUUGAUAGUUGAUAUUGUUUGAGGACAAACAAGGAUCUAAGUCUGGGGGAAUUGAUAUAUGGUGUUUUAUACAUCUUGUAUAUAUGCUUUUAAAUUGGUUUUCAAGUCUUUAUCGAGUCUUCCUCGAGUCUUCCUAGUUUUCGAGUCAUUACAGGUCUGGAGUUGCAUUGGAUGAGAGAUGAACCAGCUGGAACAAAAGAGGCAGAAAACAGUGCAAUUUGGUGAUUUUCACGCAGAACAGUCUUGAUGACUGUUCCGGAUAGCGGAGCAACCCGAGUGACUGUUCCGAGGGAGUGUUCCAGCGGCAGAGAUUUUUAAGGAAACAACAACCUAUUUCGGGAUUUGCCCUAAUCUCUCUAUUUUCUCUCCCAGCCGCCUGUGGUUUUGAUAUAUCUUCUUUUUCUGUUUUUCCUGAUUAUUCUACGCUGUUUUUGAAAGAAGAAACCAGACCUUAGAGUUGGAGACUUGUGAUUUGAUACUUUGUAAAGGGAGAAGGAUCCAUCUCUCUCACCAUAGAGAAGAACCCCCUGAACCCUUAUUCUAUUUUAUCUACACAUGUUUUAUUCAGUCUCUGUCUCUGUGUUUUCUUGCUCCAUGGCUGAGUAGUCAGCUUGCUUAGUCUAGGGUGUUAGGGUGUUAGAUCCGUGAGCUUGACAUAAAUAAGUUAUAAAUCGAUUGUCUUCAUUCACUGUUGUUCUUAAGGCUUGCAUCAAGUUAACCACUUAGUGCCUGAUUCUAGGUUUAAUCUAUUCAUCAAAAGUGUUAUAGGUUGCUAGACAUAACUUGAAUGAGCAUUGCAUCCCUAACCAGCGAAAGUAGAUGUUAGGGUGUUUUGUGAACAUAUCGGACUUGACCUCUAUUGCUUGCUGUCGCAUCUUGAUCCAAACGAGAGUUUAGGUAUCAAGAUCGAUCAGCAUAGGGGGCAGUUCCACGACAGUGGGCUGUUCUACUUGAGUGAUCCGAGUUCUAGACUUGCUCUUAAUUAAACUUGAAUAAUUGUUUGGCUCACACUUGUUUAACACCCGAUCAAACCACCCUAGGCUAGCAUUUUUAAUUAUCUGAAUUCUUUAAUUAAUCUUGUUACUUGUUUCUCACGAAACCCUCAAAUCUUACAACCCCCAUAUUGUUUUAGCUUGAUAUUGAUCCCAUAAAAAUAAAGUGUAACCGUUGGUCUCUGUGGAUUCGAUCCUAAAGUGCUACAUCGACAUACCAUUCGAUUGUGGUAGUGUGCACAUUAGGUUAUUUGGUGUGCGUAUACACGUAAUAUCAACAGAUCGCGAUCCUUGUGUGAGCCUUCUCAAUCUCUGAUGAAGAUCACGAUGGUAAUGGCUUGGCACAAACCUCCUGCGCAUUGCUGCUUUCAUCUCUGCCCAUGUCUCAAUAGGAAACUCACCAUUGCGCCGCUUGUUUGUAACCAAUUGAUCCCACCAGCUCAAAGCGUAAUCAUAGAACUCGGUAGCAGCCACUUGAAUUUUCUUAAGCUCCGUGUAGUGUUGACAGUUAAAAACCAGCUCAAUCUUUUUCUCCCACUCAAGAUAGGCAUCUGGAUCAGCUUUGCCAUGGAAAGGAGGGAUUUUCAGCUUUACUCCCGCGAGUUCAUUGCGUUGCCAGUGAUCACGCCUGUGUCUACGGUUACUACGGCUGCUGUGUCUAGAAUCUGAGCUGUGUCGAUCUCUUUCAUAGUAGUUAUCAGUCUCCUCUGAACCCUCAUGCUCACGUCUAGCCUGCGUGCGUCGAUUCUGCCUUGGUUCACGUCUAGGUUCUGAAGAUUGCGCAUCAAGCUCUUCACGGAAAGUACCCAAUCUUGUUUCCAUCAUCGUACUCAUACGGCGAGUCAAAGCUUCAAGCAAAGCUUUAUGCUCGAGGCUAACUCCUUCAUCUUCCUCCGCGUCAAUAGCCAUAGUGCCUGAGACAACCAAAAAGAUUCAACCAGUAAGAAGUUCACAGAAAAAAAAUUAAAAUUAGAAUCGCAAAAGGAAACAAACACGAAAAGGAAACUUAAACAACACGGAUCAGGUUCAAUUUCAAUCUCUUUCCACACUUAACAGAUAGAUCCGGUUCAACAGAUGAAGAUAUGAUUCAACAAUCACAGAUUCAAUAGUAUAAGAUCAGAUCGAUUCAAGUAACUCAAACAACUUAUGGAUCUAGAGAUUUCGAAAACGUGAUCCACAAGAAUAUGAAUGGUCUUUUUAGAAACCUUUAUAAAAUCGCUGAGAUAGAUCAGAUUUGAAUCAAACAUAAACAGAUCUAGCAAGUAGAUGAACAGAUCCACACGAAAAAUUGAUUAAACAAGAACUUCCCUAGCCAGAGUUGCUCUGAUACCACAUAAUACACUCCUAGGAUGCUUCUCUGGAUAGUUGGGGAUAGAUCCUUGCAAGAACGAAUCAGAGACUCAAGUUCUUCAAGGUUUGUGGAAUGAAUGGUGACACAAAGAGUUGUGAAUUGACUCCUUGAUACUCCUAGAUGCCUAAUCCGGAUAUGACACACCGAAGAAGAGAUCCUUGGGCUGUUGGAUACUACACACCAACAAGAUCACUCGCCGACUUGAUAACAAGAAGAAGAGAGAACAAAAGAAAGAUUUUUAUGAAAAGAUAACUUGAUAGAUGCUAGGGUUUUCGGAUGUAGUUUAUAUAGUGAGGCUUGUACACACACAAGCUCACGGAAACCUAAAGAGAACAGGCUCCCUUUGGUUUAAAAUAAAAAUGAAAGACAUAAGGUUUUAAAAGACAUAAGUUUUAUAAGGCAUUAUAAGCUAAACCGAGAUCAUCAAAUGAGAGAUGUGAAAGUAACAUAUGGCCUCAUUAAAAACCUAUCUUUGGAAAACCCAGUGGGACAAAACCAAAGACAGGGAAAAAGAGCACACAUAUGCUACUUGCUCAUUUGAUGAUCAUGUAGAAAAAGAAAUGGCUUGGAUAGUGGUGAGUGUGUCUUGAUUGAUCCAGCUCCCUUCAAGACCUUCUUCUUGCUUCCAGGCUAUCAUGAGUAAUCCUCCAAUGGCUUGCUUGAGUUGUUUACUCUUGGAACGAGUGAUAGGACCUUCUGGUAUAGCUAGGACAUCUUCAUCAGCUGGCUCAUCUCUCAUCUCAUUGUCUUCUUCAUCUGACUGGUCCAUGAUCAUAUCACUCAUUUAAACUAUCAAGUGUGUACUUCCUUUUAGAUAAGAAUAACCCCUCUUUAGAGCGGCAUAUCUCAAUCCCAAGGAAGUACUUCAACUCUCCCAAAUCUUUGAUAUCAAAUGCAUUUUUAAGAAAGGUUUUAGUUGAGAGAAUACCUUCCUUGUUGCUACCAGUGAUGAUAAUGUCAUCCACAUAGACUAAGAUGACCACAAUACCUUGCUUACUAGUUAAUGUGAAGAGGGUGUGAUCAGCUUCUGACUUUACAAAGCCUCUUCCAUUGAGAGUGGUGCUCAACUUAUGGUACCAAGCCCUUGGAGAUUGCUUCAAGCCAUAAAUUGCCUUUUUUAAUCUGAGAACAUUUCCUGGCUUCACCAUAUUCUCAAGACCAGGAGGUGGUCUCAUGUAGACUUCAUCCUCCAAUUCUCCUUGAAGAAAGGCAUUCUUCACAUCCAUCUGCCAUAAAUCCCACUCCAGGUUGACAGCAAGAGACAAGAGAAUUCUUAUAGUGUGAAGCUUGGCCACUGGUGCAAAAGUGUCUAGAUAAUCUUCACCAUAUACUUGAGUAUAUCCCCUGCAACCAGUCUUGUUUUCUUUCUUUCUGGUUUUCCAUUGGCUCCAUACUUGAUAGUGUAGAGAAGUCGGCUUGUCACUGCUUUCUUUUCUUUUGAAAGUUCAGUCUCAAACCAUGUAUCAUUCUUGAUCAUGGCUCCCAUCUCAUCUCCAACAGAUUCUCUCCACUCUUUGUGUUGCAUAGCUUCUUCAUAUGUUCUUGGAAUGUACUCCUGAUCCAAUUCACUGAUGAAGACUUGAUGCUCUUCUGGAUAUUGAGCAAGGGAGCAUACUGCACUUAUUGGGUGAGCUACAGCUUCAGCAUUGAAGUAAACUCUUGUGUUGAUCCAGUGUGAAGGUUUCCUGAUCCUUGUACUCCUUCUCAAAGGUCGUAACUGCUGAGGUUCUGCUUCAUUUCCUUCACUUGGCACCUCUACUUGAGUCUCGGCAUCUGAUUCUGAUGCCAUCUCAUCUUGAUCAUGAGCUACUGAGUUCUCUUCAGGUUGAGUUUGCGUAGACUGCUCAACAUUUCUACUGCCACCCUCAUGAUCAGGAUGAGUGUUCUGAACACUAUCAGUUGCAGUAGAUGGUACAUUUUCAGGGAUAGGUUCCACCCUUGGUAGAGAAGGCAUACUGAUUCCCAGGCUCUCCAUUACUCUCCUAAGGUUGUUUGCUCUAUCUGAAGCUGAUUGAGAAAGAUCUUUGAGCUCAUCCCAACUCUUUCCAUCAUAAUAGCCUCUAGAUUCUACAAACUUCACAUCCCUUGAUAUCAAGACUCUCCUAGUCUCUGGAACAAAGCAUUUGUAGCCCUUUUGGUGAGGAGAAUAUCCAAUAAACACUACCCUGGUGCUUCUAUGCGCCAGCUUAUCUCUUUGUUCUCCUGGAAUCAAGACAAAUCACAAGCACCCAAACACACGCAUAUGCUCUAUGGAUGGUUUAGUUUUGUUCAGUACCUGAUAUGGAGAUUGAUCUUGAAGGAUCCUGGUAGGUAUCCUAUUGAUCAAGUAGCAGGCAGUAAGGACAGCAUCUCCCCAAUAGCUUUUGGGCAUGCUUGUAUGGAACAUCAUGCUCCUUGCAACCUCCAUGAGAUGUCUAUUUUUCCUCUCAGCUACUCCAUUUUCUUGUGGGGUGUAUGGACAGCUAGUUUGAUGGAUCAUCCCAUAUUUGGCCAAGUGUUGUUUAAAAGCAUUGCUUGUGUAUUCUCCUCCAUUAUCUGAUCUCAAAAUUUUUAUCUUGGCAUUGAAAUGGUUAGAUACAUAAUUUUGAAAAUUUAUGAAAGCUUCGAAGACCCUAUCUUUAGAUUGCAUAAGUGUGAUCCAAGUAUAUUUUGAUUUUUCAUCUAUAAAAGUCACAAAAUACUUAUGAUGCUCUCUAGAUAAACAUGGGGCAGUCCAUACAUCAGAGUGAAUCAGGUCAAAGCAAUUUUCAUAAAUAGUAUUUGAUCUAGAGAAAACAGAUUUGCAAUGUUUGCCUAAGAUACAAGCCUCACAAUCACUCUUAAAGGAAAUACUAGGCAACAUGAUGCUUAAAGCUCUAGAUUGAGGAUGUCCUAAUCUAGCAUGCCACAAUACAUCUUUAGGAAAAUCAGAAAUAUAAUUUAAAGCAUGGGAUAAAUCGGUAGCAAGGUUAGUAUUUUCAAGCAAGUACAAGUCUCCCUUGGUGACACCUUUGCCAAGCAACCUACUAGUUUCAAUAUCCUGAAAGUAGACAUCAUUAGGAGUGAAAGUAACACUGCAAUUCAAGUCAUUAGUAGCUCUUUUAACUGAUAACAAGUUUGAGGUGAAGCUAGGCAUAUAGAAAGCUUUAGAAUCUUUGUUAAACAACCUAAGAUCACCUACUCCUUUAAUUGGUACUCUUUCACCAUUAGCUAUUGUAACAUUUCCUAAGGCAGGGACAAUGUUUUUAAUCAAUUUUAAAUCACUAAUCAUGUGGUGACUAGCUCCUGAAUCUAUAACUAAAGGUUUUGCCAAAUUAAAUUUAGUUAUCGCAUUCAAGGAAGUUCCACAAGCAGUGGCAUGUAAAGAGGUACCAAGUAAGUUACCAGAGUUAUCCUUAAGGAGUUUGAUGAGAGUCUCAAUAUCAGAUCUCCUGAUGGUCUCAUCUUGAGUGUUCCUUAAGGCUGAGCCACUCCUGGAAGCUCCCCCUUUGUUCUCACAAGCUUCAUUGGUCUGGCGCAUGCUGCCUUGUAUAGAUGGCUCACCAAUAUCACCAGAGAAGUUUGCUUUGGCAUCAUUGUAACCUGUCCUGCACUUUUGUGCCUUGAGAUGGGGAUGGAGUAUCUAGCACUUGUCCUUUCCAUGGCCUUUCUUCUUGCAAUGAUCACAAAUCCACACCUUCUUGUCUUCAGCUUUGUAAGAGCUUUCGUUUGCUGCUCUAUCAGCUUGGUUUGCAAGCACCAGAUCUUUCUUUCCUCCUCCAAAGAGACCAACUGAGCCUUGCUCCUUGUGAAUCUCAGAGCAUACCUCAUCUAGAGAAGGUAGCUCCUUAUUCCUUAGGAUGUGCUUGAUGAGAUCACCAUAGCUUGGAUGGAGGGUAAGCAGCAAAGCAAAUAGCUUGUCUUGCUCUCUCCUUUGAUUAAGCACAUCAUGAUCAAUAGUUGCUGGCCUGAGCAUCUCAAGUUCAGCCCACAAGGAUCUGAACUUCCCAAAAUGUUUAUGAAAAUCACUGUCCUCUUGACUAAGAGUAUUGAUAGCCCUCUUGACUUCAAAGAAUCUACUGAUGUUGGAAUUGUUUCCAUACACCUUCUGAAGUGUAUCCCACAGUUCUUUGGAAGUUUCACAAUAGGAGUAACCUUCCUGAAGUGAGGGGUCAAGACUGUGCUGAAGAAUGGACAACACCAACUGGUCCUCUUGACAUUUCUUCUUGACGCCAGCAUCAGCAAAAACAACCUCUUUGCCAUCCUCUCCUAGGAUAGUAUUCUUUUGUGGUCUGCCUUCUUCAACAAUCUCCCAAAGCCCUCUGCCUCCAAGAGCUGUCUUAGCAAGCCUUGCCCAAUGUAGAUAGUUAGCUCCUUUAAGAGUAACUGGAAUCACCACCAUUCUUGAGUUUUCUCCUAGAUCCAUCAAGAAUCACAAGAACAGAACUGGAAAAAUUCAAGAACAGUUCAAGAACAGAGGAGAGAGACUGGUGUGAAUGAUAAGAGAUUUUAAAGAGAAAAAGAGAAAUAAAACCAGAGUAAUUUGCGGAAGAGAUUUAGGUUUCAAGAGCUUGUUGCUCUGAUACCAUGAAAAUUUAUGAGAAUUAGUGAGAGUUUAUGACAAUUAUUUGAGAGAUUUUGGUGAAGAACUAAGAGAGAUAUGUGAGGAAAUCCAAGAGAGAGAAACAAGAAUAUUUGAGGAACAUUUUUCCUUAGAUUGAUUUAGUGUCUAUAAUAGUUACAUAAAUAGAUCUAGCAAGGAGAAUAAGACAAUGAGAAUGAAUAAACAAAUGGCGAUGAAUAAACUAAUGAAGACCAGAUUUGGGAAAGUCACUUUCGGAUAGUGACAACUCUCUUCUCUCUUCCUUCCUUAGCAUAUCAUGUGACUUUGGCUUGUUUUCACACUCCAACAGCUCUAUCCAGUUGCCUCCACUUGUUUAAAUACGUCCAAGACUUCAGGCAAGAUAUUUAAAUCAGUCUCACACAUUUCCUUGCUUCAGUUUUCCUGCCCAUGAUUUCCUGUCCAUGAUUUUCUGUCCAUAAUUUUCUGUCCAUGAUCUCCUGUCCAUGAUCUCCUGUCCAUGAUCAAUCAUGUUCUUCAUAUCUUUACUCUUGCUCUUUAUUCUCUUCAUGUCAACACCAUUAAUCAUGGAUGGUUGGGACGUUACAGUUAUGUUCUUUAAUCAUUGCACAAAUUGAUCCUCUCUUGAUCAUGUACAAACGGUUUGGUAAUAACGAAGCUUUGAUUUCAUCUGAAAAGAGGCCAUCUAGAGUACAGCUACAGUUUAUCCAAUACACACCGUCUCCGGGUUAACUAUUUAUAACCUUCGCAGAAACAUUAGAAACUCCGGGUAAACUGUGUUCUGACUUCCCUAAAGAGUAAACAUUUAUAUAACAAACUAUAAUGAUCUGAUAUUUAUGCUAAUGCGAAAGUACGGUAGUACGAUAGUGAUUUACGUCAAACUCGUUUAUCAUAUAUGAGUUGGUGAUAAUCGUUUAUCAAAUGUAAAACGUGUUUAAAGGUUUACGUCAAACUCGUUUACUAAAUGUCAUAUGAAAAUAUAGUCUUUGAAUGCAUUAUCUAUUAAAGUUGUCUAUACGUACGUACGUUUGUUGGAAUUUAUUUAGUUCAUGUCCAAUUUUUAAUGUUCGUUUUAAUAAGACAUUAUCCACUUUGGUCUAAGAGAUAAAUCCGCAUGGAUUUAUUUUUAGAUUUAUUCCCAAAAAGUUUCGUACUAAUUAAAGUUAAAGAUCUCUUUAUAUAUUAGAUACUUCUUUUCUAUACUUCCGAUGUGAAACUUAAAUUAACAUAUCUCAUUCUCCUAUUCAAAUUAAGGACCACACUCAUUUUGUGUCCUUUCCUUCAGCAAAAUUCUUUGGCACCUAUCUUGUCACGUCUUUGACAUCUAGCACCUAAUCGCAAGGUUACUUUGAAGAUGUUCUUCCUGCAACUAAACUUCUAUGAUCUUCUGACUAGUUUCUGCCAUAUACCUCUUUUUCAUCUUAAAAGAUUCUAUUCCUACUCGAAAAGUAUUUUAGUCUUCUUACAGAUUUUUGUCAUUCCGCUCUAAUACCAAUUGUUGGAAUUUAUUUAGUUCAUGUCUAACACUUUAUAGUUCGUUUAGUGCGAUAUUGUCUACUUUGUACCUAAAAGACAAGUACACAUAAAUUUACUUUUGGAUUUAUUUUCAAAAAAACUUGUAUUAAUUAAAAUUAGAUAUUUUUAUAUAUAUUAGACACUUCUUUUUUCAACUUCCGAUGUAGGACUUGAAUUGAGUUCUCUGAACGUUCCACAUCUUCAUGCUUCAAUAUAUUUAUUAUGUCGCACCAAGAAUCGUUAUUAGUUUAAAUCCUAUAUAACAACUUGUUCGAGGAUAACAACAAUCCUCCGAAUAGGAAAAUAUAAAAGUUGGCCUGAGAUCAAGUUGGGCUGAGAGUUUGAAUUUAAGGUACAUCCAUGUUGUUUGUUGGGUUAUAUUCGGCCCAUGUCAAACUUUUUAUUGUUCGAUUAAUAUAACAUUAUCUAUUUUGGGCAUAUAUUCACAUAAAUUUACUUUUGGGUUUCCUUUCCGAAAUAUGUCAUACUAAUCAUAGUUGGAUUUCUUAUUAUAUAUUAGAUAUUAUGUCUAAAAUUUCAAUGUGAUUUGAAUUGACAUCUCUCAUUUUUCUCCUCAAGCCAAGAACACUCUCAUCUUUUGUCAUUUCCUCCAAUGAAUCAUCUUGGCAUCCUCUCACAACGGAACUUCCAGGAUCUCUGCUACAUACCUCCUAUUACUACUCGAAGGAUUUUUGUCUUCUUACAGAUUUUGUCAUCUCGCUUUGAUACCAAUUGAUGAGGUUUAUUGAGUCCAUGUCCAACUUUUUAUUGGUCGAUUAGUAUGAUAUUGUCUAUUUUAGACCUAAGAAACAAGCCCACAUGGAUUUACUUUUGGAUUUCUUUCGCAAAAGGCAUCAUACUAAUCAGUUGGAUUACUUAUUAUAUACAAAUAUUUAAUUAUAAACUUUUGAUGUGUGACUUAGUUUGACAGCUCUCAUUGUUUAGACUUCUGAUGUGUGAUAGUUUGACAUCUCUCAUUAUUUGUCUAAACUUCUGAUGUGUGACUUAGUUUGACAUCCUUCAUUGUUUAUAUCAUAGCUACUAGGAGUUUUCUUGCGCCAUGUGCAGAACUUAUAAUUUAAUUAUAAUUUAUUUUAAUUUAAAAAGAAUAUUUGAUUUAUGUUUGAAUAUUAUUAUUUUUAAUUUAAAUUUUAUAGAUGUGGAAAAAUAAAAUAGUAAAUUUAGUUAUAUGUAGUCUUGUAUCUUUUGAUUUAGUUUGGUUUAAUUAUUAUUAUUAUAUUUAAACCUUGAUAGAAUUUAAGUUAUAUCUAAUAAGAAUAUUAUGUUAUAUAUAGGAGAAUUACUAUUUAUUUAAAUAUGUAUUUUAUCUCCUAGUUUGAAAAUUUAUAUUUAAAAAUAUAUAUAUAUAUAUAUAUUAAUAAAUUUCAGUUAUUUGUUUUAGUUAAAUAUGUUAAAUUGGUAAAAAUAAAUAUGUUAAUUUACUUAAUGAACCGAUAAAUUUAAAUAAAAUUCUAGUCAAUUAUAUAUCAACAAGAAAAAUAUUUGAUUAGUAUUGUUUUAAUAUUAUAUUUGUAGAAAAUACUUACAAAUAAUUUUGAUAAUAUAUAUAUAUAUAUAUAUAUAUGUAAAAUAUUAGAAACACAUAUAAAAAUCAAUUAUUACUAUAUUUUAAAAAUUUUGACAAAAAUAAAUCUUCUUAAAUAAAUUGACACUAAUGGUUGAUAUAUAAGUUUUUUGUUGUUACCUUAUAUAAAAAAUCUUGCCAAAUAAAUAAACACUUAUAAAAGGAAAUUAUAAAUGUCAUCAUCAAGUGUUGCCAUUUCAUAAUUCUUUUACGUCGUCUUAUUUAGUAAAAAUAAAUAUGGUGUGACAUAUGUCCAAAUCACUUUUUAAAUAAUGUAUACACUAAUGUUUUGGCUAGGCCUGGGCACUUUAUCCGAUACCCGAAACCGCACCCGAAUCCGACCCGAAAAAUCCAAACCGAAAUCCGAACUGAAGUAGCAAAAUAUCCGAACGGGUAUUGAGUUGGGAGAGUUUGGAUAUCCGAACCCGAACGGGUAAUAUCCGAACCCGGAUGUAUAUUUGAAGAUAACCGAACAUACGUAUAAUUAACCUUAUUUUUUUAGUUUACUUCUCUCAUUUUACUCCAAAUAUUUAUAUUAAUGCUACACAUAGCUUAAGAUCAGAUAAUAUAAAUAUAAUUAUGGAUUAUUACUCACUUGAAAAACUUUUCAAGAUUCUUGUUUUGUGCAUUAACGAAAAUUGUAUCAAAAAUUUCAAAACAAUAACCAAAUUAGUGUUUUUUUAGUUUUAAAAUUUAUAUUCAAAUCUAUUAAUCAUUUAAUUUAUUAGCUAUGUUUGGAAGUAGAAACUCUUUUAGCUUGUUUCGGUUUGUUUGCUUAAUUUAGGAACUUUAUUGAUGUUUUCACAAUGUUUUUAGACGGAUUAUUGUUGUUUUGUUCCCAUUUCAAGUGUUUUUAGACUAUAUUUAUUAUGUGGAAUGAUUUGAAGACAUAACAGAACAUUCAUUUCAAAAAAAAAAAGUUAUGUCUCGAGUUAGGAUACAUCCGAAAUUACCCGAAGCCGAAGUUAAAAUCUCCGAACCCGAUCCGAAGUUAGAAAAUACCCGAACGGGUUUUAUAGUUCUAUACCAAAAUAUCCAAAUAUCCGAAAUACCCGAUCCGAACCCGAAUGGGUACCCAAACGUCCACCCCUAGUUUUGGCCGUCAUGCAGACUUAAUUAUCUUACUAAUAUUUAUUAAUUAUUAUAUUAUUAAUUUAAAGACUAGCAAUAUAAUUUAUUGUCAUUCAUUUACAAAACCAAUAACAAAUUUAACAUAAAACUAUUUAUAUAUGAUGCAGUCUUUCACUAAAACAUAUAUAUUUAUUUUAUAAAAACUUAGAAACAAUGAUGUUGUGUAAAUAUUGUAAAAAUCUCUUUAUAUACAAUUUUGACUGUGUUCAUUAUUUCUAAAUUUUAAUUUUUUAAAUUAAUUAUCAAGAUCAUCAAAUAUGUUUAUCAAAACAUAGCUAAUAUAUAAGCUUAUAAUUAUCAAGACUAUUUAAUGUUUUUUAAUUCGGAAUUCAAUUUUAACUUGAUAAAUAUAUGUUUAGAAAUUUAUCUAUUUUAAAAUAAUAUUAGUUUGGAUAAUAAUACAAUAUACAUGAAUUGUUUUUGUCAAAAACCAGUUUUCUUUCUUUUUGAAUUUUUUAAUAAUAAUUAACUCAUGUUUUAAUGGUUAAUCAUAUAAACAAAAUUUAAUUAUUUAUUAAAGGUAACAUCAUAUUUUGCCAGUCUAACUCUUAUUGUGAGAUUUUUGUUGCGAAAAAUCAAUUGGUAAAUGAUAGUAUAGAUGGUAUAUGGGAUAUGGGAUUAUUCAAGAUCGUCUGAAAUAAAAGAAGAAAGAAGAAGCAUUGUUCCAUUUAUUGAGUUCAUUGUAUAAUGAUACUUAUUUAAAUAGUAUUAUAUAUCAUCAGCUUCAGCAAAGAAGGGGGAUGCUUUGUUCGUGUCUAAACAAGUUCUCUGGAUCAGAUUUUGUUUUAAUCUUCACCAAUCUGUUGAAAUUGUCUUUGAAGUACUUUGCUCCCCAGACUUGAGCUUGUUUGAGGCUUGUCUUUGAGUUGUUGCUGUUCUGUCCCAGGUCUAGAUCUCUGUAGUUCACAUAUGCUUGUCUUGGGUUACUUGAGACAUAAGGCGUCAUGUAACUGUACAAUUCUCUGAUCCAUUUGAUACGCAUGUCUGGUCUGUUCUCGGUGUCUGACCAGCUCCUAUAGUACAGAAUCAUGAAGCUGGUUCCGCUUCUAUGCGGAAACGGGAUCUCAGAUUCAGGGAUUUUAUCCAUCAUUCCACCGUAUGGAGUCCAUAUCAUUACUGCAGCUUCUUCUUCAAGAAUCUUCUUGAUCAUCCCUUUAAGACCUAAAACAGGAAUCGGUUCUUUAGCGAAGUCUGAUUUGGCUUUGAAGUAAACUUCUCCAAGAGGUGACUUUGCUUGAAGCAAAACCUCAGGAGGAGGAGGAGUGGUAGUUGAGAAUCCAGAGCUGUACAUGAUGGAUUCAAUCCAGUUCAUUUCUAUACAAUCCUCCAGAGUUAGCCCUAGUUCUGGAAAACCCUUGCUCAUUACCUCCAUCAAGUUGCCUUUCUCGCCAAGAAACUGACCUAUGUAUGACAUGGCCACAGUUCUGUUUUCAUUGUUUCCAGCUAUGGUGAAGAACACGCGUAAGAAGAGCUCUUCAACGAGCUUGUCCGCAACUUGUUGCCACUUUGAAAGAAUCUUGAAUCCUGCGUCUUGGUCUAGUGUUUUGGUGACCGUGAAGACAGUUAGGGUUUGAGGAACAAGAACAAGCUUGAUCUUCCAUGACAAAAUUAUCCCGAAACUCCCUCCUGCGCCUCCUCUAAUCGCCCAAAACAUAUCCUCUCCCAUCGUGGUUCUGUCUAGUAACUUGCCGUUAGCAUCAACUAUCUUUGCGUCUAGAACAUUUUCAGCAGCAAGACCAUACUUUCUCAUCAAGGAACCGUAUGCACCGCCUGUUAUAUGCCCACCAAUGCCUAAGUUCGGGUAUAUACCUGCAGGGCAUCCAUGAAUCUUGCUCUUCUCUGAAAUUCUACAGUUAACAAGCCAAAGAUUCUAUAGUCAAAUAUUGUUUACUCUUGUGUGUGAUUGUUUGGUUGCGUUUUGUCAUUGCAUAUUGUGAAGUCAAAACAUAAGAGUUUUAAGUAUUUAGAAAACGUUAAAAUAACUCGUUCAAAAAAACGUUAAAUUAACAUAAUUCAACCUAUGUUUUAGUUUAUAUAUUUUUUACUUUAUUUUCUAGUUUUUUUAUUAAAUUCAGAUCUGAAAUCAAACCUUUAGUUUAUCAAUGUAAUAUCGAAAUAGAACAUGAUUUUAGCUACGCGUCUAAAAAAAAAUUAGGUGUACAAGAUUUUGAUGAUAUUAUUAACCAAUAAUCAAUAAUCCAAAGUUUUGAGUAAGACAAAUAGUAGAUAAACCUUUUUCGGUAAUUCAGGAAUAUAAUAUUUUCUAGCAAAUUUUCAUAAUAUAUAAACGCAAACACAUAAAUAAAUUCAGUAACAAAAAAAACAUAAAUAAAUUUGUGUUUAAAACAAAACGAGAUUUACCUGUAGUAAAGCUCACCGACUGUAGCACCAGCUUGAACCCAAACACUAUUGUCUUCAAUAUCAACAUUGACCUGUCUCAGUUUCGACAGAUCAAUAAUUAUAAACGGUGUUUCUAUAUGUGAAACAUAGGACAAGCCUUCAAAAUCGUGACCGCCGCUUCUAACACGGAGAUGAAUUCCCAGUUUCUUGGAACAUAUGAUGGAAGCUUGGACGUGAGACUCAUGAACCGGUUUGAAUAUGAAAUCUGGUUUAGGCAUUGAUGUGGUCAAGUAUCGUUGAUUUUGAGCCGUCGAGUUAAGGACUUCAAUGAACAUCGAGGCGUUCCUAUCAGGAGUGAAGAAUGUUUUGUCCAGUGGAAAAUCGACAUUUGUGUUUUGGUGGAGACAAUUGAUGAAGUCAUCUUGUAAGGAGUUUGAAGAAGUUGAUGCUACUGUGUAGAAAGAAAAAUAUAGGGCUAAAAACGAUAUAUAAGAAACUGCAGGGGCUAAUUUUGAAACUCUCAUCCCUGCAACUAAAAGCAGAAUCUGCGAGAACAAGAUGGAAAUGGAUGUAUGUUGCGAGUUUUCUUUUGUCAGUGAAUAAACUUAUAUAAGAGAUUGUGAUCAAAUUGUGUGAUUUAUUUUUAUCAAAAAAAAAUUGACCGUCUUAAAAAAAUUAAUGGCCGAACAUAAAAUAGAGACCUUUUUUAAAAAAAAAAUCUCAGGUUUUUGUAUUGCAUUUCCUUAAACUGAAGCAAAAGAAAUUUGUGGUAUUCAAAGAAAAAAAAAUUAAAAAAAUGGGCCUUAAUGUUAAACCAGGUUUUGUCAAUGGAAAAAUUGAGAAUGGGGAAGCUUAAAAUAAAUUUUGGUGUCUUUUUGUAUUUAAAAUAGGUUUAUCAUGGAUCAUUUUGUUAUAAUUUCACUAACUAGUUAAAAAAUUAUCAAACUAAAAUUGGUUUUUGUAGCUAAUAAAAUAAAACUAAAAACUUUUUUAGACCUAUGGAUCUAUGGCAAUUGCUUAUGUCGCCGUAGCCUAGAACCGGGACUGGUGAUUAUUACAAGAUUCAAAUUCAAAGGUUAUGUCUACAUCGACUACGACUAUUUUGUCACAUCAGUCACAUGAUGUGACAAAAAACAGUAGGUUCAGUAACAUCUUAACAACGUGACAAUUAAACGACCCUUUUGCAUAACUCUGUUAACUUGCGUAGUAUAGUUAGAAGGGAAGUUGAAGAAAUUAGUAUUAUUGUGUAUAUAAAAGAAAAUACAGACCUAAGAACAGAUUACAAGAAAAUGAAUGGAGUGGUUCUAAAAUGCCCAUCCCUUAGAAAAAAGCCAAAAAAACCACAAUUAGGCUUCAAGAUGGAAAUGAAUGUCAAUUGUUUUUUUUGUCAAUGAAGAAUACCAUGACAUAGGAAACCUAUGUUUCCAACCUGUGUCAUGGUAUUCUUUGGUUUAGGGUUUGGUAACAUAGGUUGUAGUGUGUUUGUAUUUUAGGAUUAGAUUUUGGAAGCUUAACUUUUUUUGAAAAGUUAAAAUUUGACCUAUAUGUUUUUAGUUUUGUGUAUAAUAAACACUUUUAAAGUUGAUUUUAAGUAUGAAAUGAUUUAGUUAGUUAUUUGAGUUUAGGGUUUUUAAACUAGUAUAUUUAAGUCUUGUGGAAAAUAGUAUAUUUAGGGGUUAGAAGUCUUCUUGUAUAUAUAUGUUAGAAUAUAUAGGAACCGAACCUUAAAUUUUACCAAAUUACAUUAAACCUAACCUGAUUGUUUACCAGAGAUAUAAAUAGUAUUUUUCAUUUUUUUGUUGAUAAAAGCAAGAAACUAUAGCCGUUUGUUUCUCUUCGAAAUCGCCAAUUAUAAUUUUAACAUAUUUAAAAUAUUUGUUUAAAGUUAUUUUUAAUAAAUAUUCUUUUGAAAAUAUAGAAAAAUAAAUUUAGUUAAAUACAUUUAUAUUUAAAUUUUGGUUUGUCAAAGUUAAUAUCAUUUUAUUCGUCAAAGCAAAUCAAUCAAACUUACACUUCUAUACAUAUACGAUCUAAUGGAACCAAAUCGUUUUAAGUUGUUUCUCUUAACACUGGGUAUUCAUUAGACUAUGGGCCUGACUGGUUUAAACGCAGUGGUUGCGGUUGCGGUUGCGGGAGUUUGUGGAUGCGGGCGGUUGCGGUUUCUAGCGGUUUUAAGAGAUUUGUACGACUGGUACUGCGGUUAAAAAUUGGUGCGUUUGCGGGUGACUUAUGACUGGUUAACUACCAAAUGCGGUAACAGUUAAAUCAUAAAUUAACAAUAUUUACAUUUAAUAUAAUUAUAAAAAUAUCAAAAAUCAUAAAAUUACAAUAAAUAUAAAAUUUAUAUUUAUAAAGUUAUAAUUUUAAUUUUUGAAAAUUUAUUGAAAUUAUUUUUACUAUAAAAUUUUAUAAUAUUAAUUAAAAUAUAAUAGAUAUAUUUUAAUAUUUUCAUAAUUUCAAUUUUACAUUUUUUAUUAAAUAUUUUUACUUUUGUAUAUAUAUUGUUUUAAAAAAAAGAAAAAAAUUUUACUCUCCCGCAACCCCCCGCAACCGCAAACGCUAGCUGGAGCCAGCUUUUGAAUUUAUGAGAUUCGAAGCGGUUUGAAACGGUUUAGAGCGAUUUGAGUGAUUGUUGCAAACCGCCGACAACCGCUACCAACCGCAAAAGUUGUGUUUGCGGGUGGUAUCGGGAAAACCAGUCACCCCAUAUAUAGGCAAAGAAAAUUAUAUAAGAACAUCAAAUCCAUUAAAAAAAAACUGAUACUAGUCAAAGAGGAAGCAAUACUCGAGAAUAAAGAAAAGCAAGAGGAUAAGGUUUCCACAAAGAGGAUUCAAUUCACGAGAAAGAGAUUAGGAUACCAGGGGCUACACUACGUUAGGUAAGGCCGUAAGGGUGGGCAGCUGCCAACCAUGGACUUUUAAAAUCAGUGUAUUUGUGUACUAAUUUUUACUAAUGUCCCGGUUAAUAAUCGAAAUUUAUAAAUAUAUUUAAUAGUGUUGUAUGUGUCUGCCCUAGAUGAAAAUUAUUGCUUGAUCCGCCACUGGGGAUGCCGUGUCUAGAGACCACAUGGUACUUGUGAGAAGGUGUCCACAAACCGUGACACAUAUACAAUAGCCGGUGGAAGCCGCAUUUGAUUCUGCCUUGAUCAUGUCUUGCAACCUGCGUGGACCAUUGCAGCGACAUACGACUAGUAACAAUGGUCACCAGUGACAGGUUCUGCUAUUUCGAUAGAUACCUUGUCGCUUUCGGGAUGUGUGAGCCCUAAGUGUAAACCCUUGUCUCUAGCAUUUCCAUUCAAUCAUAACAACAAUCUCAUUUCGGUUUAAUAUUUCAUUUAUUCAAAAGAAACAUCUUACAUUUUGUUUAAUUUUAAUAGAAAAUCGAAUAAAAUAAUUAUGAAGUCUUCAAUAUUAUACAUUUAGUUCUACUCGCAUCCACAAAUUCUAACAACUGCUCAUGCCCUUAGUCCUAAAACAAAUGUCACAACGACCUAACUGAAUACAAUAAAUCGGAAAACGGUAAAGAAGAAAGUACUGAAAACAUUAACUCUUGCACCACGCUCAAGAUCAUAAAUUCACCUUUUCUUGGAUUCGAAACCAAAUCUCCUUGUUAAAAAACAUUAACCAAUCCUUAGUCAAACAAUUUGAUUAAGGGAUUACACCGAAUAUGUUUUCUGUUAUUGAUUAUAGUUUUAUAUAGAAGAGUGAAUUGGCUCAAAAUACAUAAAACAUCUUAUGUUUUAUACAUAUGUGGCGGUAUAAACCAUAAACACUAACUACGUUAAGAGAAGUACAAAACGAAUAUAUAAGCCCAAAUUGUGAAGGACAUAAGCCCAAGAUAUGUGUUACACAAGACGACUGGUGUGUGUAACACAAUGAUAGUCCACUCGAACCAAACUUUAACAAAUUGAGAACGAGAACAAGCUUUCGAUUACGAUUCUAGUGUAGUAAAGUUGAUCAAGGAACUGGGAACUAAUUAAAAACAACUUGUCUGACUCAUAAGAAGCCACGCUUCAAAUUUUAGGUAAAACAAAGUGCUACAGACUUGCCUUAACUUUGUUAGAAGAAACAUUAUCUGAUUUCUUCUAGUUUAUUCUAAUUUGAUAUUCUUGAGCUUCAGUUUUGAACCAGCAUAGGUGGGAUACUCUGUUCAUGUCUGAAGAAAUUAUUUGGAUCAACCUUUGUUUUAACCUUCACCAACCUUUCGAAAUUUCCUUUGAAGUAACUAGCUCCCAAGACUUGAGCUUGGUUGAUGGUCGACUUACAGCCCUUUUUGUUCUGUCCCAGGUCUAGAUCACGGUAGUUGACGUAGGCUUGUCGUGGAUUCGCCGAGACAUAAGGAGUCAUGAAACUGUAGAUAUCUCUGAUCCAUUUGAUGUGCCUGCUUGCUAUCAUGUCACUGUCUGGCCAAUUCGUUACGUAAUGAAUCUUGAAUAUGACUCCUUUCCUAUGCGGAAACGGGAUCUGUGAUUCAGGGGUUUUCGCCAUCAUUCCUCCGUAAGGAUUCCAUAUCAUCAUUGGAUUAUCUUCUUUAAGCAACUUCUUGAAGAUCCCUUUAAGCCCUGACUCAGGAAUAGGCUUCUUCACGAAGUCGGAUUUGGCUUUGAAGUUGUUCUUUGGGAAAGCUGACUUCCCUUGAAGCAAUACCUUGGUAGGAGUGCGGCUCGCGAAUCCAGAGAUGUAAACAAUGGAUUCAAGCCAGCUCAUUUCGGUACAAUCUUUCGGCAUUAGACCUAGCUCCGGAAAGCUCUUGUUCAUAACUUUCAUCAACACACCUUUGUUGCCAAGAAACACAGUGUUAUACGACGUCGUGGCGGUCUUGCUUCCGUUGUUUGCAGCUACGUUGAAGAUCACUCGGAUGAAUAGCUCGUCGACAAGCUUGUCCGCGACCAUUUGCCACUUUGAAAGAAUCUUGUUUCCAGGGUCUUGUUGUAACGUUUUGGUGACGGUGAAGACGGUUACCGUGUUAGGAACAGGAACAAGCUUGAUCUUCCAUUCUAGAAUUAUCCUGAAACUGCCUCCAGCGCCUCCUCCAAUGGCCCAAAACAUAUCCUCGCCCAUCCCUUUUCGGUCUAGUAUUUUACCGUUGGCGUCGACGAUCUUUGUGUCUAGAACGUUAUCUGCACCGAGACCAUAUUUCCUCAUCAUGGAACCGUAUGCACCGCCGGUUAUGUGCCCGACUAUUCCUAAGCUGGAGCACAAACCGGCCGGAAAACUAUGGACUCUGCUCUUCUCUGCAAUCCUACAGGUAACAAAAAAAGUUUCUUGAUCAAAUAUACAGUCAAAAGAUAGAUCCUAGCGUCACAAUUCCAUUUUUGUCUAAAUUUCGGAAUAAACUGCUCUUUAGAUGCUAUAUUUUCUUAGUGAUCCUUCUUAAUAGUGAAAAUUUAUUUGUUGUCUUUCUAUUUACCUGUAGUAAAGUUAACCAACUGUAGCACUAGCUUGAACCCAAGCACUAUUGUCUUUAAUAUUAAUGUUGACUUUUCUCUGCUUGGACAGGUCCAGCACUAUAAAAGGUUUUUCGAUCUCCGAGACAUAAGACAAGCCUUCGUAGUCGUGACCGCCGCUUAUGACGCGCACAUGAGUUCCAAGUUUCUUGGAACAGAUGAUGGAAGCUUGGACGUGAGACUCGUGGAGCGGUUUGAAUAUGAAUCCCGGUUUAGGCAUGGACUUUGUCAAGUACCGGAGAUUCUGAGCUGUGGACUGAAGGACUUCGCUGAACAUGGAAACGUUUUUGGCAAGAGCGAAAAACGUACUUUCGAGUGGGAAAGAAACAUGCGUGUUUUUAUGGAGACAGUUUAUGAAUUGAUCUUGGAGGGAAGCUGAAGAAGUUGUUGGUGUGAUAGUGUAGAAUGAGAAAUAUAAGGCGAAAAUCAAAAGAAAAGAAAAUGCAGGGGAUGGUUUUGAAAUUCCCAUUUCUCUCUUUAAGGAAGCUCUGCUCUAUUGUUUGAUCCCAAUCUGCAAAAAUUUAGUCUAUAACUAUAUGUACUAGAUGCAUUGCUCUCGCGCAAGCGCGGGGUUGUGGACAUAGUUCUUGUUUCAUCUCAAUAUUUGCUAAGGUUAUUGUAGUUGUGAAUUUUGCGUUUUGAAUUGUUUUUCAAGUUUUUUUAUUGUUAUAGGGUUAGAGUUGUGAUGAUGAACUGUGUAUACAUUAUUCUCCACUUAUGAAGGACUAAACUGUGUUAGUAAUGUGAUUGAUAUAGUUCAUGUUGUUGUUUGCUGUGUCACUGAAACUUAUUGUUUGUUUGUCUUUUUAAUUUGUUUCUUGUACUAUUGAGAGUACAUAAAUUAUAUUAAAGUUGUUGAGAAUACCUUUUGUUUUUGGAUAUUUUUUUCUCCAGUUUAGUUGUGUAAGUUGUGUGUAUUAAGUAAUAAUUUUUAUUAUUCUUAAUAUGUUUGUUAUAUGUUUUUAUUUUAUUUUUAAACUUAUUGCUCUUACUGGACCUUUAAAACAAAUACAUUAAGAUUUAUAGAAAUAACUAUAAAAUGAGUGACAGUUCUGAGUAUUUGGGUUUUAAUGAGUUUUAAACGAAUUUAUGUAUUUUUCAUAAGAAGGCAAUAGCUUUGGCCUGUUGACAUUGGGCAUGUAAGCUAUUUUUAUAAGACAAGAGGAGUGAGCAGGUGGAGCUGUUGUUACCGCCUUUGUGUAUGUCGGGUUUGUCUCUUGUAUCUCCAGUUGUGGCUGUGUUUGUUUAUCUUUUAUUUGAUGGCUAAUAUGUAAACAAAAAUCAUUGUUAGUUGUAUUUAUCAGAGUUUAUAACUUAUUCUGCUUUUUUUUGUUUAGGUAAUUUCACUGAUCUUGGUUGUCGUUUUCGUCUUCUUCGUUGCAAAAGUAAGUUUGUAAAUUGUUAAAUAGCUGGCCAUGUAGUUUGUAUUUGUUUAGCUGACUCGAUGUAUGUGUCGUUACGAAACUCAGUUUGUAAAUUGUUAAAUAGCUGGCCGUGUAGUUUGUAUUUAUUUAGCUGACUCGAUGUAUGUGUCGUUGAGUUUUAGUUGAGGUGAUUGGUUUGGUAUAUUUGUUUUGAAGUUUAUUUUUAAGAUUAGACAAAAAAGAGAGGUGAUCAUUAAUGAUUAGUCUUUUUUGGAAUUCUAGUUUUUGGUGUUUUGAUUGUUUGGGUUGUUGUGGUUUCUUUUAAGUUAUAAAAUAAAGGUCUGUGUAAAAUUAGUUUGAUAAGUAAGGGAGAUAAAUAGACGACCACAAAAUUUGGGUAGAAAAUAUUUUUGAUUAUUGAUGUUAGCACAAUAUAGAUAAUAAUAUAAAGAGAAUUGUUUCUUACGGAUCAAUGAGAAGACGGAUAACGACUCGAGUUGUUUCUUGGCUAAGGUCAGAGCCUUGGAUAGAUUAGAUUUUUCCAACUACAUCUGCGAGUUUAAAUAUCAGUUAUGAGAACGAAACAUAUUAUAAACACAGAUGCAAUAUGAUAAUAUAUCUGGGAGUUCUAGGUUUGUGUUCGCAAUCACUUGGAAAUUGUCAAACAGUCUAAUAAUGAUAGGAGAUUGAUCUCAGGAGUACCCGUGAUGACAUUAUAAACAAUAGUUGGUUAUAUGAAACGAAUGAGGAAUGAAUGAUCAAUGAUUAGCACGAGCACCUAGCAACUUCAAAACGAUAGACUUUCAUAAUGGAACCGGCUUUCAAAGAAGGCAUGUAAUGAUUAGCACGACUGGCAAAAAUAAACCCAUGAAUCACAGAAUCUGCAAAUAAUAUUAUUUAACAAAGAAUCAGGAAAUCAAUUAAAAAAUUAUAUUAAAUAGUGUGAAAAAUCGUAGAUUAACUUACCUUUUCAUCAAGGAAGAGAACCGUGAAUCCCAUAAAUUCACUGUCUUUCUUGAAGUUCAAGGAAUCCCAUAAGCGACGAGGUUAGAGGCUAUAUGCUCUGACUUUACAACCAACACUGAGAGAUUCGAAGGUUGAGUGACGAAUGCCGGAAAUGCUGGUUUGAGGAACUGGAGAGGCAGAGAGACAUUUUCUGGAAGAUCGUUAAAGCUAAGAGGAAUCAAUGAGUUUUGUGGAGAUGCAGAUUGGGUUCAUCAAAGAUGAGAAUCAUAUAUACAUAGGACUUACAUAAAGACUACAAAUCAGGAACAUUUAAGAUCAAGCAACUUAAGAUGGGGGGAUGAAGAGUUCACCGGUGAAAAAAUAGAUUACUAACAAACACACAGCGCAAUUCUGUAACUCAGACUUGUCUAAGACAAUAAUGAAAAGAACCAUAACUCAUGUUAAACGAAGACAGUUUUCAUGUUAAACGAAGACAUUUUACAAUAUGGAAAAAAUAUAAUUGUAGUUUUUUUCAUAUAACGUGAUGAACCUCAUUUAAAAUGAAACUCAUAAUACACUUGUAGGCCUAGCCCACAGAGAAAACCGAAGAAGUAAAGGUUUCCGACCUUCAUAAAUAUAUAUUAGUUUCAGCCAUCAAUGUACAAUGUAUCCUUUAGUUUAGUGGUAUAAAUGUUGGUGUUUAUAUCUCAAUAACCCAGGUUCGAACCAGAGGCUUGACACUUUUUCACCUUUUUUAAAAGUGAAACCCACCAAAAUGCUGACGUGUCGUCUCAGGAAAGAGGAAACUGCCUCAUUAUAUUAUAGAUUUUGACAAUAUUUUUCAAAGCAAUGUCAUUUUUAAGAUGAAAAGACAUUUUUUAGGAUCAAAAGUUACAACUUUUGACAUUUAUUCGGAGAAAUUUACAUGUUUACACAUUUUGAUAACUUAUUUUUAACAAAUGCAAUUUUUAGGACCAAAAGACACAUCUUUGUACAAUUUAACAAUUUUUUUAAACCAAUGCAACUCUUAGAUGAAAAGAACAUUAUUAAGAAAAUAUAAAUUUAUACAUUUUUAAAAAUAUGUUUUUUAAAUAAUGCAACUUUUAAAAUGAAAAGACACAUUUUUACAGUGAAAAGACACAACCUUUAACAUUAAUUUGGAUUCCUAUUAUUAAUAGACAGGAAAAUGACUAUUUAUUUAAAUAUGUAUAUUUUCUCCUAGUUUUAUAAGUUAUAUUUAAACAUAUACAUAUAUAUAUAUAUAUAUAUAUUUUUUUUUUUUGAUAAAUUUCAGUUUUUUUUUAUUUUCGUUCAGAUAUGUUAAAUUGGUAAAAAUCAAUAUGUUAAUUUUCUUAAUGAGCCGAUAAAUUUAAAUAAAAUUCUAGUCAACUCAUUAUAUAUCAACUAAAAAUAUAUUUGGUUAGUAUUGUUUUAGUUUUAUAUUUGUAGGGCACACUUACGAAUAAUUUAAUUAUAUAUAUAAAUAUAUGUAUAUAUAUAACAGUUUUUUAGAAACAUAAAUAAAAAGUCAAUUAUUACUAUAUUUUAAAAAAUUUGACAAAUAUAAAAUUUUAAAAUAAAUUUACACUAAUGGUUGAUAUAUAAAUUAUUAAUUAUUACCUUAUUUAAAAAUCUUGAAUUAAACAUUUAUGAAAGGAAAUUAUACAUGUCAUCGUCAAGUGAUGCCAUGUCAUAAUUUCUUAAACCGUGUUAUCUUUUUAGUGAAAAAAUGUGCUGAUGACGUAUGUCAUAAUCACUUUUUAAAUAAUGUAUAAAAUAUUUUUCGAGAUUGUCUGAAAUAAAGGAAGAAAAAGAAACAUUGUUCCAUUUAUUCGAGCUUAUUGUAUGAUGAUACUUAUUUAAAGGGUAUUAUAUAUCACCAGCUUAGCUUCAAUAAAGAAGUGGGACGCUUUGUUCGUGUCUAAACAAGUUUUCUGGAUGAGCCUUUGUUUUAAUCUUCACCAAUCUGUUGAAAUUGUCUUUGAAGUACUUUGCUCCCCAGACUUGAGCUUGUUUGAGGCUUGUCCUUGAGUUGUUGCUGUUCUGUCCCAGGUCUAGAUCUCUGUAGUUCACAUAUGCUUGUCUUGGGUUACUUGAGACAUAAGGCGUCAUGUAAUUGUACAACUCCCUGAUCCAUUUGAUACGCAUGUCUGGUCUCUUCUCGGUGUCUGACCAGCUCCUGUAAUACAGAAUCAUGAAGCUGGUUCCACUUCUAUGCGGAAACGGGAUCUCAGAUUCAGGGAUUUUAUCCAUCAUUCCACCGUAUGGAGUCCAUACCAUUAGCGCAGCUUCUUCUUCAAGAAUCUUCUUGAUCAUCCCUUGAAGACCUAAAAUAGGAAUAGGUUCUUUAGCAAAAUCGGAUUUGGCUUUGAAGUAAACUUCUCCCAUAGGUGACUUUGCUUGAAGCAAAACUUCAGGAGGAGGAGGAGUGCUUGUCGGGAAUCCAGAGUUGUAAAUAACGGAUUCGAUCCAGUUCAUUUCUAUACAAUCCUCCUGAGUUAGUCCUAGUUCUG